rnacentral:lncRNA from 1 species
GUUAAACCUGUCUAGAUUACACAAAGUGCAGCAUCUCUGGAAGGAAAAUGACGAAUCCAACAAAGCGUUUGCAAACUUGGGAAGUCUAGAAAUAUCGGAAUGUAGUAAGUUGCAAAAAUUAGUACCACCUUCGUGGCAUUUGGAAAAUCUUGCGACUCUGGAAGUAUCGAAGUGUCACGGGUUGAUAAAUUUAUUGACGCUCUCAGCAUCUGAAAGUCUAGUGAAUCUUGAAAGAAUGAAGGUAGCUGAUUGCAAAAUGAUAGAAGAAAUCAUACAAUUGCAGGUUGGAGAAGAAGUGAAAGGCUCCAUUGUCUUCGAGAAAAUGAACUACUUGACACUUGAUUGUUUGCCAAGCCUAACAAGCUUUUGUUCGAGUAAUUACACUCUUCAAUUCCCAUUCUUGCAAAAAGUAGUUGUGAGACAGUGCCCAAAGAAGAAGAUUUUCUCUCAAGGAGUCGUAGACACACCAAAUCUAAACAAAGUGAAACUCACCGAAGAAAAAGAUGAUGAUGAUGAUGAAGAAGAUGAUGAUGAUGAAGGAUGUUGGGAAGGCAACCUCAAUGACACCAUAAAAAAAUUGUUCAAUGAAAUGGUGAGUAUCAAUUAAGUUUUGGUGCUAUUUAGCAAAUUAUUUUAUAGAAACUAGUGUGACAUAAUAUGAUUGGUUGACUGAAAAUAUAUAAUAAUAAUAGUAAAUAAAUAAAUUAUGAGGAGCAUGUAAUGUUUUUGUUUAACCAAUCAUAUUAUGUCGCAUUAGUUUAUACAAUAUUAUUUGUGCACAAGAGGUGGUGGUCAUAUCAUUACUCUAGUUUUAUUAUUCUUAUGGUGGCAAUGUAUGCUUGCUUACACGAGUAAUUACAAAAUCUGCAGAAUUCUAAAGAAGAGAUUGAGCCAAUCCUUCAGGUACAGUGAAGAAGCUAUCCCGAACCAGGCCAAUCUCUUAUACAUGAUUUAGCUUGCUCGUUCUUCUGUACUUGAAUAAUUUGGCUCUACAUAUUUACAAUUUUUUGCUCAUGCUACAGACUUGCAAGACACUUUGGAUUUUGUUUGAUGCAUUCUCCGUUUAAGAAAGGACUUGAAUUGAUGUUUCAUGUUUCAUGCAAUAUUCGAUUAGAUUCUGUCUAAAUUUCUGUAUUAUUCGUUCAAUUGGUCUUUUAAGCAUUUGAUUUCUAACCUCUCCUAAUAGAAUAUCAUUAGCCGAUGAAAACAGCAUAACAUUUGUGGUUGUGGCAUUAUCAGAAUAAGAAUAUUUUUUAGUAUAGUAAAAUUAUCUCGACCACUGUUAAAAAGAAUUAAACAGUCAAACUGACCUUCUCACACCAGCACGCUUUAAAUUAAAAGAAUUUCAUGAAGUCAAGACCAUGUUAUAGAUCUUGUGGAAAUAAGUGAACCCGUAAUUUUUUUCACACCAUCAUAAGAAAAAUCAUUUUUUUUAAGUAUUUUUGUUAGCUGUUGAGUUUUAAUAGUAGUAGCUAUUAAACAAUAACAAUUAGUGUAUAUUAAAAAGUUGGAAACUGGUUGAUACCACUCGGGAAUCGAGCAGUUCACUUGUUUGCGAGUAGAAACCAACUUUACUACUAAUUACACUCAUACCAAAAAUAGUGACGAAAGAAUCAGGGAAUUUCCUAUUCACUAUUCUUCAUUUUUUAAUGCAAAAUUCCCAUUCGAAAACACCAAUGACUUUCAUUCAAAGUAAAUGAGAAAUUACAAUGAAAAUAGAAUCAAAAUACAUAUAUGUAUACCUAAAACAAAUGAUUUUUUUAAUUAAAAAAAAAAUACAGUUGAGGUGAAAUGAAACCAGAGUCAUGAUAUCUCUGGUUCCAACUUUGGGACAACAGCAGACUUGAGUUCUAUAUGAGAAACACGUACAGCACCAAUCAGCCGCUCCAGUAAUUCAUCUGUAGUAUUUGCCUGCAUACAGAAGAGCAAGAUAAAGAAGACAAACACAGAAGCAUUAUAUCAUUCUGAGAACAUUCAAGUAUGCAAAAAUGCAAGUUGCAGUGCAAUAUCUCAAAAUCAUGUCUUUUCCCUUGUGUCCAUUUAGCAGUGGGGGAAAAAAACAAUCAUACAUACCUGUACAAGGAAAGCCAUGUCAACCACCAAUGUCGUAAUUACACCAAUUACAAGGCCCAAAACUCCAUUAGCAACAGUAGAAGAAUCGAUGUCAACAUCAAUCUACAGAAAGAUGAACAAUGUUAAACCAUGUUAAAGGUAUUGGACGCUAUUUGAAAGGGGAACAUCUCAUGUACUAUAGAAAUUCCAAGAGCAUUUACUUCUAAGUACUUGGGACCGCGAAUAUAGUUACAAUCAACUGCCUUCCCCAAUAAACAAGGGGUGCUUCCAACACUCUGGCGCACUAUCCAUGACCCCUGCAUGAUUCAGUGCUUAAAAUCAAGAACAAGUGCAAAACAAAUUCAAGAGGGUAAAAAGGACAUAGUUUGAAUCUGAAUCCAAAUCCAUUAAUCCAGAGUUCAUAGCUUGGAUGAAGACUGAUCAACUUCUGUUGAGUUGGAUGAUGUCGUCGAUACAGCAAAAUCUACUUGCUACUGUGAUUGACUCCACAACUUCAAAACAGCUUUGGGAGACUCUUACUAGUAUGUUUAUUUCUUAAUCACAAGCUAGAAUCCAAACACUUAGAAUGCAGAUUCAAACUAUUAAGAAAAGUGCAAUGCAUAUGUCUGAUUACUUUGCAAAAGUAAAACGUAUAGCUGAUACUUUAGCUCUAGCUGGAAAACCUGUUGAGUUAAGUGACCUUGUGAUGCAUGUAUUAACCGGUCUUGAUUCAUCAGAUUAUGAAUCUUUAGUCACAGCUAUUUUAGCUCGAGGUGAGAAGAUAACAUUAGAUGAACUAUAUCCUUUGCUGUUGAAUCAUGAAAAUAGAGUUGAGCAAAAGAAAGGAAAAAUUGCUGGUGAUGUGAUGCACAAUAUAACAGCAAAUAUUGCUCAGAAGAACUCAUGCUGGAAAGAAUAAUGGCAAUUUUCAAAAAAAUUAUGGAAAUAAUUCUGGAGGUGGAAAUAAUUCUAGGUAUGGAGGUUUUAAUGGAUAUGGAUAGGGUCAGUUUAAUAAUGGUGGUAAUUCCUUUGAAAUUGUUUGUCAAAUCUGCUUAAUACCUGGUCAUGCAGCCAAUAGAUGCAAAAAUAGGUACAAUUCAUCUUUUGUUCCACAAAGAAACUAUGGCAGAGGUAAUAUGAAUGGUGUCAGAGGUUUUAAUCAAGGGCAAUAUGGUAGAGGAAGAGCUUUUAAUGGUAAUGGUGGCAGAGGUUUUGGAGGUUUUGGUUUAAAUGCCGGUUUUGGCUAUGCACCCAGGGGUUUUGGCUAUCAAGGAAAUAUAGUGUAUCCAGAUAGGAAUCCUUCUGCUUAUUACUCAUUCACCCUUGGACCAUCUACUUUUGUUUCUGGUCAAGGAAAUAAUAAUCCUGGACAGUCAAGUGCUUCAUCUUCCUCAGCUAUGCCUUCUUCACUUCCACCAGAACACAUUGAAGAUCCUUCAUGGUAUAUUGAUAGUGGAGCAACAAAUCACAUUACAAAUUAUCUAGGUAAACUUCUGGAUUCACAAGUUUAUACUAGUACUGAAAAAUUGUUUGUUGGAGAUGGAAAUGCAUGAGCUAUUACACAUGCAGGAUCAGUUGUGCUAAAUACUUCAACUUCUAAACCUUUAAGAACCAUCUUCUGCAUGUCCCUUUUAUUACUAAGAAUUUGCUUAGCAUUUCAAAAUUAUUGGCUGACAAUCCAGUUAUUGUUGAAUUUCUUGGUGAUUUGUGUUUUAUAAAGGCUAGGAACACAGGGAAAAUUUUACUUGAAGGUGUUGCUAAAGGUGACUUGUAUAGAGUCUCUUCACAUGUUGCUGCUCAUUCAGUCUUUCUCAUUUCAGUUGGUCAAAAUAAAACUCACUCUCUUUGCUUGUUCUCCUGUUUUCAAUUCUGAUCAGCUCACUGCUGUUAGUUCUUAUGAAUUGAAUAAAAAGUCAUGUCUGUCAGUUGUUACAAAGAGUUCUAUUGAUGUAAAUCUUCUUCAUAGAAGAUUAAGACACCCAGCAUCUUAUACUCUCAAAACUAUACUCAAAACUUGUAACAACUCUACUGCUUAUAAUAAAAUUGAAAGCUUGAAAUUUUGUUCAGCAUGUCAAUAUGGGAAAAAUCAUAUGCUGCAUUUUGAUUCAGUUGAAACAAAAACUUCAGCACCCUUACAAGUGAUAUAUGCAGAUCUUUGGGGUCCUUCUCAUGUCUAUUCUACCCAAGGAUAUAAUUACUACUUAUCAAUCUUAGAUGAUUAUAGUAGAUUUACCUGGAUAUUUCCAUUGUCAGCCAAAUCUGAUGCUCUUGAAGUGUUUACCAAUUUCAAAAUUUUUAUUGAAAAGCAUCUUCAACUUCAAAUCAAAACUGUCCAAACUGACUGGGGAGGAGAGUUCAGAACACUUUCCUCAUUACUCACUGCUUCUGGUAUCCAUUUUAGACACCCUUGCCCACAUAUUCAUCAUCAAAAUGGAAGAAUUGAGAGGAAACAUAGACACAUAGUUGAUGUAGGUCUGACCUUAUUAGCUCAAGCACAUUCACCACUCAAAUUUUGGUGGAAUGCAUUCCACACAGCUGUCUAUUUGAUAAACAGACUUCCAACUCCAGUUCUAAACAACAUUUCUCCUUUCCAAAAGUUAUUUCAUCAUCAACUAGAUUAUUCAACACUUAAAACCUUCGGUUGUGCUUGUUAUCCAACACUCAGACCAUACAAUAGACAUAAGUUUGAUUUCAGAACUGCCAGAUGUAUAUUCAUUGGCUACAAUUCACAACACAAGGGAUAUCAGUGUCUUCACUCUUCUAAGAGGGUUUACAUUUCAAAUCAUGUCACCUUUGAUGAAAAUUCUUUUCCUUGUGAGUCUGGAGCAGAUUUUUCUUCACUCUCUUCAAGUUGUCAGUCAACAAAAAACUAUAAGUCUUCUUUCAAUUCCUCUGUUCCUUCUGUUACUCAGUUACAAGCACCUUUAGCAGCAUCAUCAGAACACCAUCAAAAUGUUCAUCAUUUAGAUGCUCCUACUCCCUCACCAAAUUCUACUCCACUUUAUUUUUCUGAUAAUUCCAACUCAGCUUCUUCUUCUUCACCACCACAUAAUUCACCUCCACAUACAUUGCCACAACCUGCAUCAACUGGUCAUCCAAUGAUAACCAGGUCAAAAGCAGGUAUUUUCAAGCCAAAAAUUUAUUUGUCAGCUUUAUUAGCCCAAAAAUCAGAACCAACUUCUGUUUCCCAAGCACUUUCUGAUCCUAUGUGGUAUAAGGCUAUGCAAGAAGAGUAUCUAGCACUUAAAACUAAUCACACCUGGGAUUUAGUUUUACCUGCUACUCCAGUGAAGAUAGUUGGCAGCAAAUGGGUGUUUCGAAUAAAGUAUAACUCAGAUGGUUCAGUUUCAAGAUAUAAAGUCAGGCUUGUUGCAAAGGGGUUUCAUCAGACACAUGGGAUUGACCAUACAUAAACUUUUAGUCCAGUGGUUAAAGCUUCAACUGUUAGAGUUAUUCUUAGCUUAGCAGUAUUGAAUCAAUGGGUGAUUAGGCAAGUAGAUGUUAAUAAUGCCUUUCUAAAUGGCAUUUUAAUUGAAGAGGUGUACAUGGCUCAACCUGAAGGUUUUGUUGACUCAACUAAACCUAAUCAUAUCUGCAAGCUGAAUAAAGCUUUGUAUGGCUUAAAACAGGCACCCAGAGCCUGGUUUGAUAGAUUCAAGGAUGCAAUGAUCUCUAAACAGCAUUUCCAACAUUCAAGGUCUGAUAACUCUCUGUUUCAUGCCUGGAACAGUGGUCAUCUAACUCUUGUUUUGGUCUAUGUUGAUGAUAUUAUCAUCACUAGUUCCAGUCCAACACUAAUUCAGCAAGUUAUUCAGAGUAUGAAUCAAGCCUUUGCUUUAAAAGACAUGGGGGAACUUAGCUAUUUUCUGGGGAUUGAAGUCAGCAAGUCUUCAUAAGGGGUUUCCUUGACACAAGCAAAGUAUAUUACUGACAUUCUAGAUAAACAUGGCAUGACAGAUUGCAGUCGUGUGCCUACUCCAAUGUCUACUGGUUAUUAUCUCACAAAAGAAUCAGGAGAGCUAAUUGAUAAUGUUUCUCAAUAUAGGAGUGUUAUAGGAGCUCUUCAAUAUGUUACUCUUACCAGACCUGACAUUGCUUUCUCUGUAAACAAGCUAAGUCAAUUCCUUUCAAGUCCUAGAACACAACAUUGGGAAGCAUGCAAAAGGUUAUUGAGGUACUUAAAAGGCACUAUACAUCUUGGGCUGCAAUUUAAUAACAAAGGAGCUUUGCAACUACAUUGUUUUUCAGAUUCUGACUAGGCUUGUGAUCGUGAUGAUAAGAAGUCACUGGUUGGCUUUGCUGUUUACCUAGGCCUUAAUCUAGUCUCAUGGUCAUCAAAGAAACAAGCUGUUGUUUCCAGGUCCAACACAGAGGCUGAGUAUAGAUCUCUUGCUCAUGCUGCUUCAGAGGUUCCCUGGAUACAAUCUUUACUUGGUGAACUUAACAUCAAAUUGAGCUCUACUCCUAUGAUGUGGUGUGAUAAUCAAGAAGCAAUUGCUUUAGCUUACAAUCCAGUCUAUCAUGCUAAAACUAAGCAUGUCGAAUUGGAUAUACAUUUUAUCCGAGAUAAAGUUACUGCUAAAGAGAUUGAAGUAUGUUUUGUGCCCAGUCAAGAUCAAACAGCAGAUGUGUUGACUAAGGCUUACUUUCAAACAGUUUAGUUACUUAAGAAGCAAGCUGAAUGUUCAUCCUAAACAUUUCAGCUUGAGGGGGGAUGUAGUGAAUUGAAUGAAGUUGGAGCAAAGCAUGAUGUUGCUGUGUAGCUGACUGUAGCAGAUCAACUCACUAGGCUGACCUGGCAAAGUUAGUUAGCUGGUUGAGCUGAUGUGUCAAAUUAGUUAUGCAGCAAAUGGUUAUGUGAUGUAAAAAACUUGUGUGUGUGUUGAGCAAAUUGUAGCUUAAUAUAAAUAUCAGUCUGUAUUCAUUUAGUUGUAAUGCUAGAGUAAUAAAGGUUCUACAAACUUCUUUACAGCGCUUUCUUUUAUUUUCUUUCAUUUUCUAGCUUGCCAAACAAUACAAAACUAAGUUUCUUUCGGAAAAGGAAAAAUAAAAAGAAAAGAAUAGUUACUUGUGCAGUACAGCCUUGACGCCUAGCUACAUGGUCCAUUCUCUGUGUCUUUGAACCAAUCAACAGCAACAAGAUCCAUUAAAUGUUUUCCCGCAGGUAUCUGCAGUUACAAAUUGCACAAAGCACAAGAGCCAACCAAACUACAUCAUAACCUGUCGACCUAGCAUAUGCAGGAUAUAUAACUACCAUAACAAACAACCAAAAUAUGGGGGAACCUUUGUUUUGUCAUAACAAAAAUGCUUGCUACGAACUCUAAAGUUAUUUCCACCAGAAAGUUUCCAGCAGUCACGAGCAUUAUCACAGUCAUCGUGUCGCAGAUUGCCUGAAAAAUAAGAAAAAUCAAUUUGAUCAGCCUGCUCUUCCUCUAGGGUAGCAACUAAUUGAAAAUUAUAAACCAAAAAAAAAAAUCAAUACCAUAAAAAUCCACUAAUGAGGACAUUAGCCAAAUAUACAAAAAUGAAUACUUAUCAUCCACCUGUCCUCUUGAAAUCAUUCUCAAUCUUUUUUUCAUUUGAUGGCAGGAAUUAUUGAAAUUGGAGCCAUUUUUUUUGUGGGAAUUGAAAUAUAUUCUUUAAAUUAUUACAUAAAUAGCAAAAUGUACAUACACACACAUAUAUAUAAUUCAUAUAUAAAAAUUCUCUAAUUUGUUCACAAGUACCAUAGAUUAUAAUUCAGUUAUGAAAUAAAAUAACUACAAUAAUUAUAGUUAAAUGAAUACUUCAUUAAUUCUUAAUUUGCUUCCUAACAUUAAAUGAACAACUUGAGUCAGCCACCUGAAUCAACCAGUAACAACGCCUGAGUCAACCAUCUGAAAAAACCAGCAACCCUAGCUGAUUCAAGCACCUGCAAUUAACAUCAACACAACAGGAACAAUCAUAAAUCAGCACCAAGAACAGACCAAACUGCCAUCAAAUGCCACAAAACCAAACAGUCUGCUACUGCCAUCAAAUGCAAGCAAACAUAUGCAACAAAACCAGAUGCAAGUGAAAUUCUGGAGAAUAUCGGAUAAACCAAACCAAAUGCCACACUUCUAGUAAUUAGACUAGAUGCAGUGUUCAAUUAAACUAAAUGUAGUCUCAUAUUACAUUCAAAUUUUCUAAAAAAACCAGUGUUCCAUCAGAGAAGCACCAAAACCAAACCAAUCUAAUCCAGCAUAAUUACCAGCUCAACCCAAAACAAUUACACAUUAUAUUGACAUAUCAAAAUUCGCUAUCAAAACAUAGCCAAAUAAAUGACAAUAAACUGAAAACAGACCCGAACCAACUGAUGUUGCAGCCCUAGUAGUCAUUGUGCGUUCCACUGCCAUAGGAGCGAGGGUAGGCUCCGUUGUUGAUGAGUGAGUAAGAUAAGGCUCCAAAUCAAUAGUUCCACCUCCUUUCUGCAAUUCAAAAAACAGAAAUUCAUAUAUGUAAAACUAUUAAAAAGUGUGAAACAACCUGUAAGUAUUCAACUUCUGUCAACUCAAUAGCACUUACUAAAGUUUUUAUACAGAAGAAAAAGGCAUUUUAAGUCCAAAAAAUUAGAAUUAUUGGUUGAACUCCAACUCCAUCAAUCCAUGCAACCAUCCAACCUUUAACGAAAAAAUGAAGCAUAAUUAACAAGACAUCUGAAUCAGAAAGAUUGUGCUUUGAUUUGGCACGAGGUGUUGGAAACAACUUAACAAAUCUAGACACAAUCUAUAACCAUCAAGUCCAAACAAAAGUCAGGAUCUAAAAUACUUUGAAAAAUCAGAAAAACCGCAAAAUAUCAGUUUCAAUUUCUUUUUCACCCAUUGUAAGCUCAAACUGAAGGUAGCGGCGCUACCUUUAAACAUCAUUUGGGCUUAUACAUGUGACAUUUGCUCAUGAACAACUAAAGUUGAAUAAGAUUUUUAUAUGAAACGGAAUAUAAAAAGUCAAAGUAGAAUAUGACAGGACCAACAAUAUAUUAUUCAGCAUUAGCAUUAUGUAUAAAAUAAAUUUAGAGGCAUCAUAUUCAUUCACAAUCUUGCAGAGGUAAUACCAGAUUAUGGCACGCAACUCUUGAAUAGCAGAUAAAGGAGGAGAUGCAGUGGGAAGGUAGUAACUUGCUUGCAUGAGAACUAAAAAGUAAUAUCCCAAGAUCAAUUAUAGAUCUCAUAAAACAAAAACAGUGAGGCAAACACAAUUAUUGUGAACAAUUAUUCAUAGAACCACAUAGCAGCAACAAGAUCAAAGUCAUCUGUGUAUAAAUCGAUUCCCCACAGCUGACUGCCUCUGACCUAAACAUAAUGAAAUUACAUAACUAAGAAGUAGAGUCAUAAAAUAUGCUGCUGUAACAGCUAUCAAUAAAUUUCCAGACAAAUGGAAUUUGAUAUGUAAGGCUAUAACUAGCAACACUUCAAAAUAAUUUGAAGUAGCAUGAUCUUACUUUAAGGAUCAAUACUACAAUCUUUCAGAAAAAUUAAAGUCUAACCAAAAUUAAAACCUUAAACAUACUAAAAUCUGGUAAAUAGACCUAUAGGAAUUCCAAUGACCUCCAAAAUAUUUGAAAGAAAAAUUAAUUUACAGCAAAAAAUGUUAAAGAUUUGUAAAAUGGAGGCCCAUACUACUAUUCAAAUUACAAAAGAGGAAAGGGAGCUGGCCAUUAAAUGAUAAAGGCAUGCAUAAAGAAAUACGAGCACCACAUUAAAUGAUAAAGGCAUGCAUCGAGAAAUACAAAAAAUAUGCCCAUAAAGACGUCCACUCAAGCCUUAUAAGCGGCUUUAUGCAAAGGAAAGCCAAUUAGUUAACAGUAAAUGAAUUUCAAGGUGCAAUAAUUAAACUCCCUGAUCAGCACAUUUAAGGUUCAUGCAUUUCUACAAAACAUGUAAAUCAUAAGAACUUUUUUGGUCCAAAUGCUAACCAGUAAUUAAGUAGAUUAUCAAAGUAGUCACAGAACAAGCACCACAUUGAUUGCUAUGCAAAAGAUGAAAGUAAAAGUUAAUACUUUAUUUUAUUUUACUUUUCGAGAGUUUUGAUCAUCAUGUGCAAAAUAGUAGUAUAACUUGCUCAGUGUUAUCUCAAAAAGCUUGCUUAAAAUACCUAUUAGCACCAGUCCAAGUUGUCAAAUAAAUCCUUAUCUAUCCAUUCAUCUCUGACCUUGCCAAAAAGAUUUAAACGAGCAUCUAUAUUCUCACUCCAAUCUUUCACAAUCAUAGGCUUUAACUUAGACCAGUUCUUCAAUAUCCCUUCCACUGUGAGCCCCUCGAAAACCUUGUAAAUUGAAUCACAUUUGUCGUCAGUUUCAAAUCCAUCUGUCAAAAGGCUAAGCAAAUGAAUAUACAAUCAACACCAUUCUUCCAAACGAAUAUACAGUCAACACCAUUCUUCUAAACACAAACAAAGUUUGAACGUAUGACAGAUUUUUAGCCAUUUAAUAUUCCAUCAAAUAUAAUUAGAUCACACCUACCAAGGAUUUUUGAAAAGAAUGCAUUCUCAUCUUAAGCAGCAACCUCACUAGUAACACAUUUUCAUACCCUGUUUCCACCUCUGGUCGCACCACCAAAAAAAAUUCAGUACUAAUUAGCUUUAAUAUGUAAAUUUUCGCUUAGUUUAAGCUAGGGUUUUCUUUCGAUUGAAACAGAGGAAAGCUUUUGGGUUAUUAAAGUGAAAGAUAUGGAAUAAUACAAAAAAUUAUUGAAGUGAAAGAGCAGGAAUACAAAAAAUCAGCAGAUGAGAUCGUUGAAAGAUGCGGAGGUUUGUAUAUAAAUAUUAAAUUGAUCGUUGAAAGAUGUAUAAACCUCCAUAAAAUUGAGUUACGACUUGAAGGAUUGUAUAUAAACAUUAAAUUGAUCUAAUUUAACUUGUAUGUAAACACUAAAUUGUAUAUAAAUACACAAAACAGAACCAUAUCAGUGUUGGAAAAAAAAUAAGAAUCCAGAGUUAUAUAAAUUCAAUAAAAAAGUAUUGAAUUUUUUAUUACUAACUUUGAACACUCUAAUUUCAAUAAAAAAAAUAUAUUACUAAAAUAGUCUUAAUUGAAUUUAAUAUUAAAGAUAUUAGAAUAACUCAACACUAAUAUUCUCAAAUAUAUUUCUCUCCAUAGUCUAAUCUAAUCCAUUCUAAGAAUCCUAUAGAAAAUCUAUUAUUUACUUUUUCCUUAUUAAACACAAAAACAUGUCAUUUUGUUGCUAACUAAAAUUUUGGAACUAACAACAGCAGAUUAACUAAAAUUAUCAGGAAAAGAAAUCAAACAGGAUUUUAAUCGUCAUCAUCUUCACUCUUGCCUUUUUCUUUUUCUUCACACAUGUGGCUUGCACACGCAUUCCCCUCUCUCAUCCUUAGGGCCGCCCUUCAACAAUAUCCAAUCAUCGAUUAUAAUUAUUUAGAUUGACCAAAUCAAGCUUUGAUCAUAUAUCGGUUGAGGUUAGAAGUAGGCAGGCAGCAACGACAAUACUAAUUAAUAUCUCAUGAGAAUUUUAAAAAAGAAUCUAACGUUGCCCAAUUCGUUUGAUUUCAAUGAAAUCUUUCUCCUACCUAUACUUUCGCAUAUUCUCUUUUAUUUCCAAAGUUAAGGUUAUGGAUGUUGUAGAGUAAAAAGAUGAACAUUGCUAGGAAAGCAAUAAAAGGAAAUAAAUAAAAAUUAAAAAUAUAAAAAGAGUUAAGUCAUUUUUUUUGUCUAUUAGUGUUUUUGUAUUUAAUAACGAAAGAUAAAAAUGAAGUAAAUAUUAUCUGUUAGAUUAUUAAAAUACAUACUUAAAAUGUUUUAGUGACAAUCUAAUUAUAAAUUAAGGGUCUAUUUGAGAUUGAGAUUGAACAGUUAAAAUGUUAUAGUUGUUGUAGUUUAGAAGUUAAGAUGAUUUGAUUUUACACUUAUAUGAUAAAAAAUUAUUAUAUCUUUAUUAAUUUUAUCAAAAUUAUUAUUAAAAAAACUAAAUUUAUUAUAUACUAUUAAUUUUUAUUUUAUACUUAAAAUUUUUUUUUUCUUACGGCAAAAGUUUUAGCACCUCAAUACCCAACCAAGUCUAAAACUGCACAAUAAUAAUUAUGAGUGUGCAUGUUAAAAUCUACACACAUUCUUUAAUUUCAAUCAACAGUGUUACAAACUUAGUUAAAAUAUUAUAUCUGAAAUUAUUGAGGGGAAAAAAAAAGAAAAAAGAAUGUUGUUUUCAUGAUAGUGACAUGCGUCGUGCACAUUUUGCUGUUGGCUCUUUGGUCUCUAACCUAGCGAAUAGGUUGCUGUGUCCUCGUUGUUAGAUGCCCGAACCCAGCGCAAGAACUUUGUACGAUACCAUAUAUUUUGUAUGAAUUUAAGCUGAAGUUGGUACCUUUUAUUGUUUUAUAUCAUGACAUCAGGGAAAUUUUUAAUAGAUCUUCAUUUUAGGCUAAAGUACCCGAACAAUAGUUCCCAUGCACUUUGUGAUCUUUUUACAAAAUAUUAAACUAAAUAGCUGUGGAAGUAACAAAGAGGGCAACUUUUUACCAUAAUGUGAUGAAAAUAAUUUAUUUGUUGUCAUCACGAACUAACCAAAUCAAAACAAAAAACUAACUCAAAUCUGUGCGUCUAGUAACUUAUAUGAUGAUCAUUAGAUCUUGUUCUUGUUAAUGCGUCUAGUAACUUAUAUGAUGAUCUGAUGAUAUCCGUAACAUUAACAUACCCAUAAUCCAUUAUUUUAUAAUUAUAAAAAUUGAAGAUUCGGUCAUGCAAUUUUGUAUGAUGAACAGUGUUUCAUUUUUCUGUGAAACAUAAGAACAAUUUGUAAAUAAUGUCCAUGCGGACCUUGUAAUAGCGAAGCAUCAUUAUUGAUCUUACUUUGAUGAUCGCACUUUAGUUUCUUUUUAAAGUGCCUUUUGUUUAUUUUAUCGGCAUCCGCUUUUACAAAAGUUUUGGUCCUCGUUCAUUCAUCAAAGCUUCUACUUUUAUCUUUUAUUAGGCAUCUUAUAAAAAGCUUAAUUUAAUUGGAUUCAUGUUCGAUAUGAAGAUUGUUUUACUUACUUCAAUCUUUCAAUCAACCGAAUUUAUUCUUUUCUGAUCUGGAAAUUAUUCAUGAAAAAAUAGGCGCGUCAGUAGGACAACAGGGACCAAGUACAUAAUAUGAAAAUUCAUUUGUAUUGCUUACUCUAAUAAGCUCUUAAACUCACACAUUCCUCUGCAGUUACCAGUGAUCUUUUGCUCACUAAAAUUGUUAAUAUAUAUUCAAGGUGAAUAAAGAAACUCAUCAUCCCAGAUAAUUAAAGAGGUGAACUUGUUCUAAAUCCUUUAAUAAUUUCUAUUAAUAGCAUAUAUAAUCUCUAAUCCUUGAUCUUGAUAGUAGUUCUUUCUUAAUGUCCAAGAAAAAUAUCUCUCAUUUGUCUUAAUCUUGUCAUUUAAUUUUCUUGAAUUCUGAGUUAGUGUUUAUUGUUAAAUUCGGUUUUCGGUUAGUAGCUGUUGGUUAAUAGCUUCGGUUAAUCCUUGAAUUAAACAUAUUAAAAUCUAAUCAUAAACCCGCCUUUCCCUAUUUUACGACACCCUUUGUGUAAUAGUGACUUCAAAAGUGUAACAUAUUUUUGAACAAUUGCAAGGAAAGAACAUAUUUGACACUUCACGAAACGGUAAAUAUAUAAGCUUCAAUUCUUGUACAACAAAUUAAUAUAACCAACAUCAACCGUCAAUUGAUCAAUAAUUCAGUAACAAAAAGGGACAGAUAUCCUAGUCUUUCUUUACUAAUGAAGCAAGCCAUUAAACUUCGAAAGCUAUUUCUAUUUCCACAUUCUUCAUGUACCAAAGCCAAAAAAAAAAAAAAGCAACAAAAAUUUGGAAGUAAUCAUCUUUAUUCAGCAGCAUGCAUAUUAAUUAAAACAUAUUCAAAAAGAGAUAUACAAUAUCAGGUCUGGAGACGAAAUGAGCCCACAGAGACUACCAAUAAUGUAGUGGCUUGAUUAAAAAUAUUAAUCAAGCCACUACAUUAGAAGAACAAGAGUUAAUCAUGCAUAUUAAUUAAAAAUAUUUUUGCUAUCAUCCACCUGUUCUCUCUAAAUAGUUGCCACUUUUUUUUUUCGUUUGUCUGAAAUUCCAAGCAAAAAUAUAAUUAGAAGAACAAGAGUUAAGGGUUAAAAAAAUGGAAAAAUAGGGCUCCUCUGUUUUCAUUCCCCUGUUUUUCUGUUCGGUGAUUACAAAGAUUUAAAUCAAAAUUUAUGAUGCAGGCUACACGGCACCUGGUGGAAGACUGCUAGGGUUUACCUUUUAUUGUUAGUUAGAAAUUUAAUUUAGAAUUUGUAGUGUUUGCCUUAUAUAAGUAGGUUUCCUAAUAGUAAAAUUAAAUAAUCAAGUUUAUGAUGCACUAGGAUAUGGUUGUGAUAAAUGAGCUUUUUAUGUAUCCUGUGAGGCUGAUUAUUAUUUUAUUACAUUGAAGAUUCAGUCAUCUCUUGGUAGUCUUGUGAAUCAAGCGGAUUUAGUUAGUAGUAGGUAAUACUCUGGACUUCACAUAGUAAACGGAAUGGAGCAUUAUUUUAUCCCGCUAAAUCAGUUUUUUUUUUAAUUAAAAAAUAAUUCAUCAAACACUUUAUAGCUCUGGUUUUAAGUUGGUAAACACUUUAAGCCGCAACUUUAAAUUCAGUUUACGAGAACUCCUAACAGUCACUGUGGCUUGGGUAGAAAUGAAUAUACUAGCAUAAGUAAUGCUACCCAGGAAAUGUAGUUGAACCUAACCAAACUAAAACCAGAUGAUGAAAGCUUAUAUACGCCAAGAGAUUUAUUCGUUUCUGAGUUUGUUUCCAGAAACCCGGAACCUCCCCUGUUUCUACAAACACGGCACCUUUGUUUUCAUUCCCCUGUUUUUCCAUUUGGUGAUUGUAAAAAUCUAAAUCUAAAUUCUUGAUGCAGUCUACACGGCACCUGCUAGAUGAUUGUUUGGGUUUAUCUUUUAUUCUUAAUUAUCAAUUUAAUUUAGAUUCGUAGUGUGCACCUUAUGAAAGAUUAAAUAGAAUAAUGUGAAAAAAAAAGAAUGCCUUUGUUAAUUUUGACUUCAUAAUGUUGCAGUAACCGUCCUCUCUUAUCAUUCCCCUGUUCUUUGGUUUAGUGAUUGCAAAUAACAUUCUUUUCAUCUACUCUUUAUUUAUUUAUUUUUAAUUUUUAACUCAUUAAUUCUUGUUCUUCUUAAAGCGUUUAGUAAAUUAUAUGAUCACCUGAUCAAAUCCCUCACAUUAACAUACAACAUAACUAACAAAGUGUUGGCUCCACUGGCAAUGGAGUCUCCUCAAGUGGCUUAACUGGAUUUGCUCUCCAGUUCGACUCGCAAGGAAGUCGCCUUUGUUGGGAAAACUUGUACCAAAAACUCUGAUCUGUUGGCUUUGUAUCAGUAUUGCUUGUUUGUUGUCUUUUAUUUCAUUAUUUGUAUCUAAGUUUAUUUGAAGAUUACAGAUCAGCAGGAAAAGCCCUUUUUCUAAAGCUAACUAUACAGAUUUUAGAAUAGGGCUCAACCACAUGAAAAUAUUUACGUUGUAAUAUCUCAUAUUAAUAAUCUAAAAACAACCAAUCCAACAAGUUCAAAUUCAGUCAAAUCUAAAAAAAAAUUGCUUUUAAGGAGUACAUGAUAGCUAUUAAACUUUGGUUAAAGAUCUUUUGGGCAAACGUGAAAUUCAGUCAAUCAUAAAUCAACCAAUCCAACGAGUUCAAAUUCAUCACUUGCAAAAUUAAGUUUUCUUCCGAAAUUGAGUUUUUUCCAGUAGAAAUUUUCCCGCAGUCACGAGCACUAUCAUCAAAACAAGAUUAUUAACAUAAGAACAAGAGUUGAGGAAAAAAAUAUCUGUUUAUAUGGACACGGGGUGCACGCUUUAAGUCUUGUUCUUUUACAAUUCAAUUGUAUUGCUUACUCCCAUAAACUCCUUACUCACAUUCUUCUGCAGUUAACAGUGAUCUUUUGCUCAUUAAAAUUUUUCUUAUAUAUCGAAGGCCAAGAGUGAAGCUCAUAAACUCUGUGAUCCUAGAUAACCGAAGAGGUGCGUUUGUUCUAAAUACUUUAAUAAUUUCUUUCAAUCGCAUAAUUUCUAAUCUUUGAUCUUGAUAGCAGUUGUUUCUUAAUGUCCAACAAAAACUAUCUCUUGUUUGUCUUAAUCUUGUCAUUUAAUUUUCUUGAGUUUUAAGUUACUGUUUAUUGUUAACUUCUGUGUUCUUAUGCAGUAUUAUUAAUGGUUAAUUUGCAUCCAUCUUCCAAAAAAGUUUUCUUUCUUCAUAAAAUUGUUGGUUUUCCAUUCAGGCCCCUGAAACCUUUUUCUAAAAAGUUUUUUGUUGUCGUUUCUUUCUUUUUCUUCCCCGCUAGUUCAUUUAAUUUAUUUGAAUCCAUUUUUUUUUCAACAGCCAAAAACUAGAUAUUUAUAGUUAAGCAACAGGCAAUGGCUAUAGAAGCGUGUCUGGCUUUUUUAACCAACUGUGUAUCAGAAGGUGCAAAGUCACUGUUCAACCCUAUUACACGGCAGAUAUCUUAUGUGUUCAAGUACCAGAGCUACAUAGAUGAGCUAAAAGAUCAAGUGAAGCAGCUGGGAUAUAAGAGAGAAAUGGUGCAGCAACCAGUUAAUCAUGCUAGGCUACAAGGGGAUGAGCUUUUUGAGGGUGUCACAGACUGGCUACAUAGCGUUGAUGAAUUCAUCAGUGAAGGGGUUGCAAAAUCCAUUAUUGAUGAUGAAGAUAGAGCUAAGAAGUCCUGCUUCAAAGGAUUAUGCCCAAACUUGAUUUCUCGUUACAAGCUUAGUAAACAAGCAGCAAAGGCGGCAGAAGCUGCCGCUAGUCUCGUGGGAAAAGGCAACUUCUCCAAUGUUUCCUACCGUCCUGCUCCAAAGCGGGCAGAACAUAUGCAAGUGAAAGAUUUCGAGGCGUUUGAUUCAAGAAUGAAAGUAUUUCAAGAUGUUGUGGAGGCGGUGAAGGAUGACAAGGUCAACAUAAUUGGGGUCUAUGGGAUGGGCGGCGUGGGCAAAACCACGCUGGUCAAACAAGUUGCAAACCAAGUGAUGGAAGAUAAGUUGUUCGAUAAGUUCGUUAUGGCCGAGAUAACACAGACCCCAGAUCAUCAUAAAAUUCAAGACAAACUUGCUUUUGAUUUAGGCAUGGAAUUUGACUUGAAUGAGAAUGAAUUUCAAAGAGCUUCUCGACUGUGUCAAAGGUUGAAGCAAGAGAAGCGGCUCCUCAUUAUACUGGAUAAUAUUUGGACAAAACUUGAGUUGGAUGCGGUUGGAAUUCCUUCUGGAGAUGUGGAUGAGAAAGAUAGAGAGGACGAUCGGAGAAGACUCACAAUAAUAUUGACGUCUAGAAGUCGAGAUUUAUUGCGCAAUGAUAUGAAAUCUCAGAAGGAUUUCUCAAUUGAAGUUUUAUCAAAGGAAGAAGCAUUGCAAUUGUUUGGAAAGAUAGUGUGUAAUUCUGCAAAAGCAUCUGCUUUUCAACCUUUAGCAGAUGAGAUCGUUGAAAAAUGCGGAGGAUUGCCUGUUGCACUGAUUACCCUUGCAAAAGCUUUGAAAAAUGAGAGGCUUGACACUUGGAAGGAUGUGCUGCGUCAGCUAAGAAGUUCCAAUGCAAAAGAAAUUGAUGGAAUGGAAAGAAAUGUGUACAUCUCCAUAAAAUUGAGUUACGACUUACUGGGAAAUAAGGAAGCAAAAUCUCUGUUCCUUCUUUGUGGUCUAUAUACUGAAGGUGAUGUCAUACACGUUUCUGACUUAUUGAGAUAUGGUAUGGGUAUGGGCUAUUUUAAAAACGUUUACACACUGGAAGAAGCAAGGAGUAGAGUGCAUACGUUGAUCGGUAAACUCAAAUCUUCAUGCUUAUUGUUGGACGGUGAUGCCGAAGAUGAAGUUAAAAUGCAUGACAUCAUUCAUGCUGUUGCUGUAUCAAUUGCAGAAGAGGAGCUCAUGUUUAAUAUUCCAAAUGUUGCCUACGUGGAGAAAAAGAUGGAAGAGACAAUACGGGAAGGUCCAAUAGCUAUUUCUUUACCUUAUAGAGAUAUUCAAGAGCUUCCCGAAAGGUUGGAAUGUCCCCGUCUCGAGUUACUUUUGUUGUUUUCAAAGCGUGAUAGCUCUUUGCAAAUUUCAGACCUCUUUUUUCAAGGGACAGAAGAACUCAAAGUUUUAGAUUUUACUGGAAUAUUUUUCUCUUCAUUACCUUCAUCACUUGGUUGCCUCAUUAACGUUCAAACAUUAUGUUUAGAUGGUUGCCGACUGAACGAUGUAACUAUAAUUGGACAGCUAAGGAAAUUAGAGAUUCUCAGCUUCCGAGAUUCUGAUGUUAACGAGUUGCCACUUGUAAUUGGACAAUUGACGAGAUUACAGUUGCUAGAUUUGAGCAAUUGUAGCAGCCUUGUGGUGAUAGCUCCAAAUGUCAUAUCAAAAUUAUCUCGAUUAGAAGAACUAUAUAUUGGUAACAGCUUUUCACAGUGGGAGAACGUUGAAGGAGGAAGUAACGCCAGUCUUGUUGAGUUGAAGGGGUUGUCAAAGCUAACUACUUUGGAGAUACACGUUCGGGAUGCCGAAAUUCUACCGCAGGAUUUGGUCUCUGUGGAAUUGCAAAGCUAUAGGAUAUGUAUAGGAAAUAAGUGGUGGAGCAGCUGGUCCGUUAAAUCUGGAUUAUCAAGAUUGAUGAAGCUCCAGGGGCUAGAAAAGUUUGGCAUUCUUUUGCAGAAUUACAGGAUGAAACUGUUGUUGAAGAGAACUGAAUAUCUCUAUCUAGGAGAACUGAAGGGUGUUCAGAAUGUUGUUCAUGAAUUAGAUGAUGGGGAAGGUUUUCCACGAUUGAACCAUCUUUCUGUAAAAAGUUGUUCUGAGAUUUUGCAUAUUGUCUGUUCAGUUGGACGGGUUCGUCGCAAAGUCUUCCCCUUGCUGGAGUCAUUGUCUCUUCGUCGUUUGAUCAAUUUGGAGACAAUAUGUGACAGCCAACUCACAGAAGAUCAAUCUUUCAGCAACUUAAGGAUUAUAAAAGUAUCAGACUGUCACGAAUUGAAGCAUCUUUUCUCAUUCUACAUGGCCAAAAACCUACUGUGGCUUCAAAAGGUAGAAGUGUUUUUUUGCGAUGAUCUGGAAAUGAUUGUUGGUAAGUGUUGAAAUUAAGUGUUGGUGGAUUUAUGGACUUCGCCUCAAUUAUUUUGAAAAAAAAAAAAGACAACGACAAAGAUUAAUUAUGUAUAUUGUUUUAGUUUGUUUAUAGGACCCGACAUGGACAAACCAACAACUUCUUUGGGAUUCAACGAAAUCAUUGCUGAUGAUGAUCCUGCUCCAAAGGUGAUAAUUUUCUGUUCAAUAAUUAAUUGAUUAAUUUAUUAUCACGAUUAAUCUUCGAUCAUCAAAAGAAUAUUAUACUAGACGGUUGUACUUGAAGGAACAAAAAUGUACGGGUUUUCUUUGCAGGUUAUUCUUCCGAGCUUAGAGGAAUUGAAUCUCAUGUCAUUAAGAAACAUCAAAAAAUUAUGGGCCGAUCAUAAUCAAGGAAUGUACUGUUGUCAAAAUCUAACAAAGCUGCACGUGGUCGGUUGUCAUCGUAUGAAGUAUCUGUUUUCAUAUUCUAUGGUUAAUAGUCUUGCGAAACUCCAACAUCUUGAGAUAAGCUAUUGUGAGUCAAUGGAAGGGGUAGUCGACACCACGGGAUGGUCAGAAAGAGAUGAAGGAAAGUUGAUUGAAUUAAAGGUUUUUCCUAAGCUACACUCCCUGCAGCUAGAAUGGCUUCCAAGACUAAGUAGCUUUGCCAAUAUGGGACAUAUUCAUUCAGAUUUAGUUGUUGAAUUCCCUUCUUUGCUAAACCUCAUGAUUGGUUGUUGCAGUAAUAUGUUAAGAUUCAUCUCUACGAGCUCACCAGAAGACACCAUUCAUUCUGAAAUGCAACCUCCUCCUCUCUUUGAUGAAAAGGUUUUUUUUUUUUUUUUUAAUUAAAAAAAAUAAUUUUAGUCACAAUACUUGAUUUGUCUUUUCCUUGAGUCUUCAAAUUUAGUUAAUAUCCGCCUCUAAUUUAGUUAUCAAUUGAUUAUGCCAUUAAUUGAUUAACUAGUUAUUUAAUCUUUAACUGCCAGGUACGAGUUCCUAGGUUGGAGGUAUUAUAUAUUGCGUGGAUGGAUAACCUAAGAACAAUAUGGCACCACCAGCUUGCUUCGGAGUCUUUCAGGAAAUUGAAGAAUUUGGAGAUAGAAGAGUGUGAUAACCUAAUGAAUAUUUUUCCUCCAUUGGUAAGGUUGCUGUAUUCAUUUCGAUUUUUUUUUUCAAAUAACAUUCAACAAUUUUUUAAUCUUUUCUGUGUUUACAAAUGAUAUUCAGCCACUAAUUAUUUAUUUCAAAUAUUGUACUUCAAACCACCACUCUAAAAUCUACGUUUUAAGUCUAGUUUUUAGGUUCACCAGCAUUAGAAUCAACAAUAUAAUUUUUUUAAACACGAUUCAAUAGCAUAAUAUAAUUCAAUUUAAUUGUUUUUGCUCAUAUCUUAAUAAGUACGAUUUUCAAAAAUUAAAGGAUAGUCACUCAUCUUAUAAGUUCACAAAUUCAUCUAUAUAUUUCUCUUUUCCUUAGUUCUUCACAUUUCGAUUGGGAAAAAAAAAAAGAAAGUCUUCAAAUUUAAUUAAUAUCUCCAGUUUAGUUAAGAAUUGAUUAUGCCAUUACUUAACCACAAAUUCAUGAUUGUUUACAACUGACCCUUGAUUGUAAAGAAAUUUCCUCGAGUCUGGAAGUACUUAAUAAAGAUCCACUUUAUAGCAAUCCCUUGUUGACAGUACUGGGAAGUCUUUUCCAAAUUUUUUUUUUCCAUUUUUAUACAUACAUAAAAAAAAGGGGACCAAGGAAAAGGGAAAAAGAGGCAUUUUAGUUGAGUUUUUUUUAAAGGAAUAGUUGAAAUGUGCAAAUUUAUGCUUAAAAACUUAUAUCAAGAUGCAAAAUAAGUCUAAAGUAUUUAGAAAUUGCCUUAAAUUCUUUCUACGUCCCUAAUACUAAAUAGUGUAAAUACAUUUUUAUCAUCUUUGUUUAUCUGGCUUUUAUUUAUUUAUCUUGUUACCUUUUUUGUUUAACAAAAAAUUAUCUAGUAGACAUUUCACAGUUUGUUAUGUUCAUAAAACGUAUAAUUGUAUGAUUAAACAUACUUUGAGCCUAGUUGAAUGAUACUCUUACAUUUUUACUUUUUUAAUAUACACACACACACACACUCUCUCUGCUUAUUUUCAGGUUGGAAUUCCUACUAGUCUGGUGAAUCUUUAUGUAUGGAACUGCAAAAAAUUAGAAGAAAUCGUAGGACAUGCUGGAGAAGAAGUGAAGGAGAAUCGUAUUGCUUUCAGUGAAUUAAAACUUUUGGAACUUGAUGAUUUACCAAGGCUUACCAGCUUUUGUUUGGAGAAUUACACUCUUGAAUUCCCAUCAUUGGAACGAGUAUUUGUGACACAUUGUCCGAACAUGAAGACUUUUUCUCUGGGAAUCUUAUCCACACCAAAGCUGCACAAAGUGCAAGUGACUGUAAAGGAAGAUGGUGAAUUGCACCAUCGGGACGACAAUCUUAAUUCCACCAUACAAGAACACUAUACAAGAUCUCAUGGAAAUAAGUAAACCCGUAAUUUUUUUCACAGCAUCAUAAGAAAAAAUCAUUUUUUUUUUAGUAUUUUUGUUGGCUGUUGAGUUUUAACAGUAGUAGCUAUUAAACAAGAACAAUCAGUGUAUAUUAAAAAGUUGGAAACUGGUUGAUACCACUUGGGAAUCGAGCAGCUCACUUGUUUGCGAGUAGAAACCAACUUUACUACUAAUUACACUCAUUCCAAAAAUAGUAACUAAAGAAUCAGGAAAUUUCCUAUUCACUAUUCUUCAUUUUUUAAUGCAAAAUUCCCAUGAAAAUGGGAUCAAAAUACAUGUAUGUAUACCUAAAACAAAUUAUUAUUUUUAAUUAAAAAAAAACACAGUUGAGGUGAAAUGAAACCAGAGUCAUGAUAUCUCUGGUUCCAACUUUGGGACAACAGCAGACUUGAGUUCUAUAUGAGAAACACGUACAGCACCAAUCAGCCGCUCCAAGACACACGAAGCGUUAUGCCAUUCCGAGAACAUUCAAGCGUUAUAUCUCAAAAUCAUGUCUUUUCCCUUGUGUCUGUUAAGGAAGCACACUGAGCACGUGUGAACUAAGAGUAGCUGCACGAUAAGCAUGUGUUAGUUAAAGAAGUAUAUGCCAGCUCAGCCAAUUAGUUAAGCAGGCUUUUGAUUCUGUUAUAGUUGUGUACCUUGCUUUAAUUCUGUUUUUAUGAUGUAAGCAACGAGUAUAAACACUGCUACGUUUGUCAUUUGUAUGUUAUGGAAAGAAAAGAAAUCCAGAAUAUUCUAUUUCACUUUCUCAUGAAUUUUCUGAGCUUCCAAACAAAAUUAUCAGUUCAAUUUUAAGCUUUUCAACAGUGUCCAUUUAGACGUGCAAAAAAAACAAUCAUACAUACCUGUACAAGGAAAGCCAUGUCAACCACCGACCGAUGUUGUAAUUACACCAAUUACGACAAGGCCCAAAACUCCACUAGCAAAAGUAGAAUAACAUCUAUGCCAACAUCAAUCUAUAGAGAGAUGAACAUGUUAAUGGUAUCGGACGAGCUAUUUGAACGGGAAACAUCUCAUGUACUAUAAUAGAAAUUUUAAGAGCAUUUACUUCUAAGUACUGGGGACCGCGGAUAUAGUUACAACCAACUGCAUUUAGAAACAAAAAUUUGCGCUUGCGACAAGAGCUGAUCUCUUCAUUCCCCUGUUUAGUAAUAAAAAAAAAUCAAAAUAGCGGAGAAACAGGGCCCUCUUUUCAUUCCCCUGUUUGAUAACAAUAAAAACAAAACAGAGGAGAAACGUGGGCUCUCUUUUCAUUCCCCUGUUUUUCUUUUCGGUUUGGCGAUUUUAAAAUUUUAUAUCCACAUUCAUUAAAAAAAAAAAAAAAAGUUAUUCCAAAAAGAUUUUCUAUUUUCAUAUAGACGUUUAUUUAUUAACCAAAAUUUAAAAAGUGUAAUUCUAAACUUAUCCUUGUGCUUUGAUCUUGGAGGGGUUUUUCAUUUUUUCUACACUGGCCAUAUCAAUUAAUGAUGAAAGUUCUUAUCCUUAAUUGCUUUUGAAAUGAGUGAGCACGGUAUGACCCUUAAGAGAAUUAAUUAAUUGGACAAGUUAUAUAACGCCUUUGAUAUGGCUCCUAGACAUGUAUGCAAUUUGUAUCUUUCCUCAAGUAUGCAUGAGAAUACUUGAGGAAAGCUUCACAAUAGUUACGGCCGGAUCUGCACUUCACAAGUCCUAAUAGGGAAGUAUAAAUAUAUGCUUCUGGAACAGUGCAACUCUCCAUAAUAAGUACCUAAGAAUAGACAAAUUUUCAUUACAAUAGAAUGAUAAAUUAUAAUAAUAUUGACACAAUGAUGCCAAUAAUAAGAAUCUUAACAAAUCUACUAAUUUUAGAAUAUGGCUUAGAGUGCUACAAUGAACCACAACAAGUUAUCGAUAUUAUAAUAUCUAUAAUUAAUAUUCCAAUAAUAACUGGGGCUCCUUUGUUUUCAUUCCCCUACUUUUCUGUUAAGUGAUUGCCAAAUUUUUAUAUCUAAAAUUCUUCUAAUUUUAAACUAAGGUUUAUUUAGAAAAAAAAAGGGAGAGAGAGAGAGAGACUCGAAGAGCAUUAAAAAAUGUAAUUUUUAAUUUUCACUUAAGCAUUGUGUGACUUUUAUCAUUUUUUAAAGUUGGCCAUUUGUACUGAAUAAAUAAAAUAAUGGAUAGACUUAUGGACCACUUUUUUUCUGUUAUAUUAAAACAUGAGAUGUCUUUUCUUGAUGUUUUCAUCACACAAGAAUCUGUUUAUGUCAUCAUGCAUCAUGGGUUUAAAUGGGGUAAAUAAAUUAAGAUCGAGGGCAAGUUUGUUUAAGUUCUAAAGUUGCUGAAUAUAAAAAGGGCUGAUAUGAAAAUUACCUAAAGUUUCAAAUAUUGUUAUUCAGCAACCACUUUUAGGUUGCAUUAGUUUCUACACAAAUUUUAUAUAAAUAAUUUAUAACUCCCAUUAUUAUUUAAAAAACUGUAGCAAUUGUUGAAAAAAAAUUCUAAUUAAAGAAAUUGACAUUAUAAUUUAAGGGAUAGUUGCUGUUUUAAUCAUUAGAACUUAAGUCAAUUAUCCAGCUUAUCCUUGUAUUCUUAAAAACUAUAUAAAAUACCAUUAUCUCUUCUUUUGUAGCUAUUGAAUUCGACUUUCACAACAUAAAUAUUUAUUAGCAACAACUUAAAAUUCAAACAAAUAUAAUAUGUAAUGUAUGAAAUACAAAUAAUAGUUAAACAAAUUUUGAUUAUUUACUAUUAAAAUACAUUCACAUUAAUAUCUUAAGGAUAGGUGGUACUCAAAUAAUUUUUUAAAAAUCAGACCCAAAUUAUAUGCAUUGUUAAUAUGUAUUAUUGUCUAAUAUUUGGAUUUUGUUAAGUUACAACUGUUGUAACUUACGAUCUCUUCAAAAAAGAAAAUUGAGUCCCACCACCUAUUAAAUUUUUUACAUUAUUUUUUAAAAGACUGUAAGUUACAUCAGUUGUAACUUAACAGCACCCUUAAUAUUUUACUUUACUUUUAUAUCUUUACAAAACAAUACCAACAAGACAAUAAUGUAUGAAAUAAAUAAAAUAAAUAAAUAAAGAACUGAUAGCGAAAUUAAGUCUAUCAUUAGUUUCUUGUGGUGUGAACUCUUGACAAUUCUCCCACCUAAAACUCUCUAGUGGUGUGAACUUUUGACGAUUCUCCAAAAAUUUGUCAUAUUGCAAAAAGCAAUGUCAAUUGUAAUGUCAUUUCCAUUAGUCAUAGUGGCAGAUAGGACUAGAAAUUGUUGAAACCCAUUGACUUAUUUUUCUUUCUAAAAAUAAGAAAAGCACACCCGUCCGGGGAAAUAAUUUUGUAGUACCUCAUGUCGUGAAUAAGGGACAAUACGAUCCUUUUUUUAUUAUAGUAUUUUUAAAUUUAUUAACUAAAAAAUUAAUUCUAAUAUUUUAUAAUAAAUAUAAGUAGGAUAUUAAAAUGAAUAUAAUAAUGUAUACAUAUUAAAAUAAUUUCAAUAUCUAAAAAUAUUUUAAUAUUUUAAAAUCUCGUAGUCUAUUAAACCAAAUAAUAAUAAAUAGAGACAUAAUAUUCAAAUAAAUACAUAAAAAUUUAAAUUGUUUUCAAUAUCACAUAAAAUAAUUUUAAUAUUAUUAAUACAUGAGAAAUAUUAUAUUAAUUGUAAAAUCUAUUUAACCUAAGGAUUCAUUUAAAAUUUUUUGUAAUAAUUACAAGUAUUUUAUAGAUACAAAUAUAUUAAUUCACAUUUUAAAAAUUAAUAUUGAAAUUAAUUAUUUAAAUUUUAUAAAAAAUUUUGAAGUCUUUUUUUUUUUUUUGGCUACCAUCUACUAAGAGUAGUAUUAUGAUCAAAAGGGGUAUUGGUAUCCUAUAUUAAAAAUUUGAGGUCUACGUGACUAUUUUUCUAAAUUUUUAGGGUAUCAUUUUGUUUUUGACAAAAGUAAAAUUUCAUUUUUGACAAAAAUAAAAUUUCAUUUAAAUGGCUAAAAUGGUGAAUAAAAUAAUACUACAGUGGGCGUAAAUGGAAGGUAAGAAACAAUGAAAAUGAAUAGUCUAAUGUCACCACAGGCACAUAAGGCCAAAGUUUGUUACAUCUGAUCAAGGACAAUUUAGUAUGUGGAGUGGGUCCUGCGUGUCAUUUUUUGGGCAUCUACCUUCUUCAGCAUUGAAGAUUUGAUGUUGACGACAUUUUAAAAAUUUGGAAGACCCAUCAUACAUUUGGAUGGUUGUCAUUAUUUGAUAUUAUCAUUAUCUCGUGGUGAUCCUAUUAUUUAUGUGGCAAAAGAGGUAAUUAAAUAAAAUUUAAUUGGAUGUAACACUUGUUUCGCGUUGUGAACUUUUGACAAUUCCCCUAUAUCCCUCCAAAAACUUUCGUCAUUUUGCCAAGAUACCUAACGAUUGUAAUGUAAUUUUCAUUAUUCAUAGUGCCAGAUAAUGGAGGUCCAGGAACGGACCAGAAAUUAUUGCUACCCGUGGACUUUUCCAAUUUAUUUUUUUUCUUUUGGAUGGUUGACGUUAUUUGAUAGGAGGACGAGAUAGAGAUAGAGUUCUUAAUCGAACACCCGUUUUAUUUAAUGGGGAAAUUAUCAUUUCACCACUACUCUUUUGCCUUAUGCUCAUUCAAUUACUACAAAAUUUUAACAUGUUCUCUGCACUACUUUUCUUUUUUAAAUUUGUAUCAAUUACUCACUUUUAUACUAACACCAUUAAAUAAUUUAAACAAAAUAAUAAAUUUACCCCUAAAUAAAUUAAAAGACCAUUUUAUUUUAUAAAAACUUAAAAAAUAAAAAAUAAAAAUUAUAAUUAUAAUUAUAAAAAUACCCCUAAAUUUAAUAAAGAAAUAAAUCCCCAAAUUAGAAUUUUUAUUUUAAUAAAAAUUAUAAUUAUAAAAUAAUUGCAAAAUUUUGGGAUUUAAUAAACAUCCCCUAAAAUAUUAAAUUUUGGGAUUUAUUUUUAAUAAAUAAAUUUAGUUAUUUUAAUAAAAUUUUACAAAAUUAUAAAUUUGUAAUAAAAAUAAGCUGAGCGCCUCUAUUUUGGAUUAUUUUUUAUUAAAUUUAGGGGUAUUUUUGUAAUUCUAAUAUUUUUUUUCAAAGCUUUUAUAAGAUAAAAUGGCAUUUUAAUUUAUUUAGGAGUAAAAUUAUCAUUUCGUUUAAAUUAUUUAACAGUAUUAGUGUAAAAGUGGCUAAUCGAUUCAAAUUUAAAAAGAAAGAUAGUGCAGAAAACAUGUUGAAAUUUUGUGGUGGUUAAAUGAACAUAAGUCAAAAGAAAGAUGGUAGAAUGAUAAUUUCCCUAUUUAAUAUGGAAGAAGAUCUUUAAACUCUCAGUGAGGCUAUGGCUUCAACAGAUGCAGCCUUGUGGAAAGAGGCAACAAGUAAUGAGAUAGACUCAUUAUUAUCUAAUCAACUAGAUGCAUCAACAAGAUCUUAACUUAGAUUGGAACUUGAAGCAUUGUUGUUUGAAACAUUGGCUCAAGCCUUUAGAGCGAGGUUGGAUGCAAAAUGAUUUACAACAAAGAAAGGAAAAAAUAAAUUUACUAAUUUACAAAAUAAAUUUAGUAAAUUAAUAAAGUCAUUAUAUGAUCUUAAAUAAGCACUAAAGCAACAGCAUGAAAAUUUUGAUUCUAUGAUCAUGUUGCAUGGAUUUUAACAUAAUAACGAUGAUAAAUGCAUUUAUUCUAAAUUAAUGGAUAAAUAUGGUAUGAUAAUUUUCCUCAUUUGAGAAAGAAUUCUUAAAUAAUGUCCCAUAUUAAUUAGUAAAAGAGAGUCACUUGGGCUUAUAAGUAGUAGAGAUGGGCAAAAUUGGAUGCAGAUGAUAUUCGGGUUAAUAUGAUCAGAUUUUGGAUUGUUCGGAUUGAUAAAAAGUCAUAUGAAUGCAAUAUGAACUUGCAUCCAAUCCGAUUAUGUACGGAUCAUAUUCAAAUUGGAUGAAUAGUGCAGAUUAAUUUGGAUUCGGAUCAGAUCGAUAAUAUCAAACUGAAAUCGGAAUCAGAUGUGUUCGAAUAAAUCAGAUGAAUUUCAAUCACUUGCAAGUUGAAAUACAAAAUUGAAAAAUCAUAGAAAUUAAGAAAAAAAUGCAGCAAGCUAGCAAAUGGAAGAACAAAGGCAAAAAAUUAUAUUAUAAAUUAAUCGUAAAAAGGUGCUAUUAGCAAUUGUUGCACAAUGCGAAAAUGUCCUGGAACUCGCUGUGUAGACAUGCAAAAGUUCCGUAAGUGCAUUAACAAUUAUUUUCCAAAAAAAGGUUGUUGCGUCAAUAUUAAAGGAAUUGACAUCCAGGGACCCAGUUUAGUUGCUUAAUGAUUAAUUAAUUAAUCAAUUUAUAAUAUAUUAAUCUUUUAAGUUGAAUACUUAAAAUCUUAGACCCCAAACAAUAAAUCAUCUGAGUAAUAUAAAAGAGAAAUUAUCAUCCUAUUUUUUAUUUGACUUCUUGUAGCUUAUAAAAGAGAAAUUAUCAGUCAUUUACUCAAAGUUUAUUCAGUUAUUAAAAUUAAUAUAAAAUUUAAAUUUAUUUAAUUUUACACUCAAUGUAUGCAAUUUGUAUUAAACAUCCGUUAAAAACAUAAAGUUAUUCCAUCAAAGUGACAAAAUAGAAGCGAACACAAAAUUGUAUUGGUGAUUAUGUUUUAAGAGUAAUUUUAUCUUUUUAGUAAACAGUUAUCCACAUUGUAACAAUGGGUAUAAAAUUAAGUAUAUUUAAAUUUUUAUAACUUUUAGGAUAAUAAGAUAAUUUUUAGGUGGAUGACUGAAAAUUUUUCUUUUCAAAAUAUUUUGAAAACAAUACCAAAUGUACCAAAACAUUGUUUACUUACACUCUAUAUAUAUAUAUAUAUAUAUAUAUAUAUAUAUAUAUAUUUAAUUUCUUAACUCAUUCUUAUCCUUAUUCUUGCUAACAUAUCCACAAUCUGUCAAUGAAAUUUACUUUUAUAAAUUUGAAGAUUCUUUCAUGCAAUUUUGUACGAUAAUGAGUUCUCAUGUCUCUGUUAAAAAAGAAUUCGUAAAUAAUACAAAUGAAAAAAAAACAAAAAGUAGCAGGGCUGGCAAUACAAACCAUAACUUUUUUUCUUUGAAAUAUGCAUAAAUAAAGUUAAUAGUGAUGUGUCAGCACGAUCUUGAGAGCACGGCUUGGAGUCUCAAUAAUUAUUGACACUCAUAUUUGAAAACUUUUGAAAAGAUAAAAUCCAAUAUGAAAGGUGAAAUGUUAUAAUCAUAGUAACUAGAAAAUUGAUUGAUUUACAAAUAUCAAUUUAAACAAUUUUCAUGUUGAUCGACAAUUUAAGUAGAUUGACAAAGAUUGAAGUAAUUACUGUUGGUGAUUGAUUGACUUUGUCCUUAUCCUUGCCUUCUUCUUAUCAAAAAUCGAGUGUCAAUUAAAUUGGGCCAGGGCUUCUGAUUGCAACUAAUAGACUUCAUAUACGCAUAAUGCUCCCUACGGACAUACGUACCAGUAUUUGAUUGAAAAAGGGAUGCGUGCUUAAUGCUCAAGUCGUCUUCUUCUGGAAAUUCAUUGUUAUUACUCUCAUCAACUCGUUACUCACAUUCCUCUUUAGUCAACAGAGAUCUUUUGCUCAAUAAAAUUUUUCUUCUAUAUUCAAGGUGAAUACAGCAGCUCAUCAACUCUGAUCCCAGACAGGUAAAGAGGCGCACUUGUUCUAAAACCUUUAAUAUUCUUUUAGUAACAGAAUCUCUGAUACUUGUUCUUCAUAGCGGUUCUUUCUUAAUUUCCAUCACCUUUCCUAGGAAAAAAUUCUUUGGUUUUUCUUAAUCAUAUCAUUUAUUUUUCUGAAGUCAUAUAAUUUAGUUUUAGUAGCAGAAUACUUGAUAUUGAUAGCGGUUCUUUCUUAAUUUCCAUCAACUUUCCUUGAAGGAUACCUUUCUGUUAAUAGCAAAACAUCUGAUCCUUAAGAUAGAAAAAGAAAUUCUCUAUUUAGGUAUCAGUUGGUUCAAGAUCAAUAUCGCGAUGUUGUUUGCGGUCUUUUCUUUCUCCGUCUUUCCCUUUAGUUCAGUUUAAUUUAUUUGUUUUCCUUUCUUUGAUAUAUUAUUAGAUUUGUUAAGUAGCAGACAAUGGCAGAAGUUGGUCUGGCUGCUUUUUCCAGCAUUGUAUCAGAAGGUGCAAAGUCACUGUUCAAACCGAUUAUACGGCAGAUAUCUUAUGUGUUCAAGUACCAGAGCUACAUAGAUGAGCUAAAAGAUAAAGUGAAGCGGCUGGAACAUAAAAGAGAAAGGGUGGAAAUACCCGUUCAUCAGGCAACUCAACAAGGAGAUGAGAUUUAUAAGGAUGUUGCAGACUGGCUUAAUAGCGUCAAGGAAUUCACUCAGGGAGCUGCAAAAUCCAUCACUGAUGAUGAAGAUAGAGCUAAGAAGUUCUGUUUCAAAGGAUUGUGCCCAAACUUGAUCUCUCGUUACAAGCUCAGUAAACAAGCAGCAAAGGCUGCAGAAGCUGCCGCUAGUCUCGUGGGAAAAGGCAACUUCUCCAAUGUUUCCCACCGUCCUACUCCAAAGCUGGUAGAACAUAUGCAAGUGAAAGAUUUCGAGGCCUUUGACUCAAGAAUGAAAGUAUUUCAAGAUGUUUUGGAGGCGUUGAAGGAUGAUAAGCUCAAGAUAAUUGGGGUCUACGGGAUGGGCGGCGUGGGUAAAACCACGCUUGUCAAGCAAGUUGCGAAGCAAGUGAUGGAAGAUAAGUUGUUCGAUAAGGUCGCUAUGGCUGAGGUAACAGAGAACCCAGAUCAUCAGAAAAUUCAAGACAAACUAGCUUCUGAUUUAGGCAUAAAGUUUGAGUUGAAUGAGAGUAUAUUCGACAGAGCAAAUCGACUAUGUGGAGUAUUGAAGAACAAGGAGCGGCAUCUCAUUAUAUUGGAUAAUAUUUGGAGAGAACUGGAGUUCGAUAAAGUUGGAAUUCCUUCCAGGGAUGUCGAGAAAGAAAGAAUGGAUGAUCAGAGACGAUGCACAAUAAUACUGACGUCUAGACGUCAAGAUUUAUUGCGCAAUAUUAUGAAUUCUCAGAAAGAAAUCCAGAUCGAUGCUUUAUCAAAAGAAGAAGCAUUGCAUUUAUUUAAGAAGAUAGUGGGUGAUUCAAUGAAAACAUUUGCUUUUCAAUCUAUAGCAGAUGAGAUCGUUGAAAGAUGCGGAGGACUGCCUGUUGCACUGAUUACACUUGCAAAAGCUUUGAAAAAUGAGAGGCUUGACACUUGGAAAGAUGUGUUGAAUCAGCUAAGAAGUUCCAAUGCAAAAGAAAUUGAUGGAAUGGAAAUAAAUGUGUACAUCUCCAUAAAAUUGAGUUACGACUUAUUGGGAAGUAAGGAAGCAAAAUCUCUGUUCCUUCUUUGUGGUCUAUUUAGUGAAGGUCAUGCUAUACCAGUUUCUUCCUUAUUGAGAUAUGGUAUGGGUAUGGGCUAUUUUAAAAACGUUUACACACCGGAAGAAGCAAGAAGUAGAGUGCAUACGUUGAUCGGCAAACUCAAAUCUUCAUGCUUAUUGUUGGACGGUGAUACUGAAGCUAAAGUUAAAAUGCAUGACGUCAUUCAUGCUGUUGCUGUAUCAAUUGCAGAAGAGGAGCUCAUGUUUAAUAUUCCAAAUGUUGCCGACUUGGAGAAAAAGAUGGAAGAGACAGUACAGGAAGGUCCAAUUGCUAUUUCUUUACCUUAUAGAGGUAUUCAAGUGCUUCCUGAAAGGUUGCAAUGUCCCUGUCUUGAGCUAUUGCAUACGGAGGGUGAUGGCUCUAUGCAAGUUUCAGACCACCUUUUUAAAGGGACGGAAGGACUCAAAGUUUUGAAUUUUAAUCGAAUUCACUUCUCUUCAUUACCUUCAUCACUUGGUUGCCUCAUUAACCUUCAAACAUUGUGCUUAGACUAUUGCCGACUAAAAGAUAUAGCAAUAGUUGGACAGCUAAAGAAAUUAGAGAUUCUCAGCCUUGUAUAUUCCGAUAUCAAGCAGUUACCACUUGAAAUUGGACGAUUGACGCGGUUACAGUUGCUAGAUUUGAGCAAUUGUUGGAGCCUUGAGUUGAUACCACCAAAUGUCAUAUCAAAAUUAUCUCGAUUAGAAGAAUUGUUUAUGCAUAACAGCUUUUCACAGUGGGAUAAGGUAGAAGGAGGAAGUAAUGCCAGUCUUGUCGAGUUGAAGGGGUUGUCAAAGCUAACUACUUUGGAGAUACAUGUUUCGGAUUCCGAAAUUCUGCCGCUGGAUUUUGUCUCUGUGGAAUUGGAAAGAUAUAAGAUAUUUAUAGGACAAAUGUCUGUCCGGUGGCUCGUCGAAUCUAAAACAUCAACAUUGAUGGUGCUCAAGGGGCCAGAACAAGUUAGCCUUCUUUUGGGGAAUGAUGGGACGAAAAUGUUGCUGAAGAGAACUGAAGAUCUCCGUCUAUGCUCACAGAAGGGUGUUCAGAAUAUUGUUCAUGAAUUAGACGAUGGGGAAGGUUUUCCACGAUUGAAGCAUCUUCAUGUAAAAAGUUGUUCUGAGAUUUUACAUAUUGUCGGUUCAGUUGGACGGGUUCGUUGCGAAGUCUUUCCCUUGCUGGAGUCAUUGGAUCUUAUUAAUUUAACUAAUUUGGAGACGAUAUGCUACAGCCAACUCAGAGAAGAUCAAUCUUUCAGCAACUUAAGGAAAAUAAACGUAGAUUUCUGUCCAAAAUUGAAGUAUCUCUUCUCAUUCUCUAUGGCCAAAAACCUAUUGCGGCUUCAAAAAGUAAAAGUGGAAAACUGCGAUGAUUUGAAAAUGAUUAUUGGUAAGUGUUGAAAUUAAUUAUUGGUAGGAUUAUUGACAUUGACUCAUUCUUUUUUUCUUUUCUUUUUUUUUUUUUGGUGAAAAAAACAACGGAUGUUUAUUAUAUAUUGUUUUUGUUCAUUUAUAGGGCCCGACAUGGAGAAACCAACAACAACUCAGGGAUUCACAGAAAUCAUUGCAGAGGAUGAUCCUGUUCACCAAGUAAUAAUUUUCUGUUUAAUAAUUAAUUAAUUAAUAUAUUAUCACGAUUGAUCUUCAAUCAUCGAAAGAAUAUUAUAUUAGAAGUUGUAGUUGAAGGAACAAAAAUGUAUGGUUUUUCUUUGCAGGUUACUUUUCCACGCUUGGAGGAACUGAAACUUGUCAGUUUAACAAACAUCAAAAAAUUAUGGCCCGAUCAAUUUCAUGGAAUGUAUUGUUGUCAAAAUUUAACAGAAGUGACCGUGUUCGGUUGUGAUCGUCUGAAGUAUCUGUUUUCAUAUUCUAUGGUUAAUAGUCUUGGGCAACUCCAACAUCUUGAGAUACGAAAUUGCUGGUCAAUUGAAGGGGUAGUCAACACCACGGGGUUAGGAGGAAGAGAUGAAUUGAAGGUUUUUCCCAAACUACACUACCUGUCGCUCCAUUGGCUUCCAAAACUAAGUAGCUUUGCCUCACCAGAAGACGUCAUUCACACUGAAAUGCAACCUCAAUCCCUCUUUGAUGAAAAGGUUUUUUUUCAUUGAAUUUUUAAAUUCUCUUUUCGUUGAGUCUUCAAAUUUAAUUAAUAUCCAUCUCUAACUGCAUUGAAUUUUCAACUUCAGGUACGACUCCCAAGUCUGGAGGUAUUACAUAUUAAGAGGCUGGAUAAGUUGAGAAAAAUAUGGCACCACCAGCUUGCUUCGAAGUCAUUUAACAAAUUGAAAAAAUUUGAGAUAUCAGGGUGUCAUAAUCUACUGAAUAUUUUUCCUCCAUUGGUAAGAUUGCUAUAUUCAUUUUGAAUUUUUAUUUCAAAUAACAUUCAACAAUUAUUUUAAUCAUUUUUGUGUUUACAAAUAAUUUUCAUUCACAAAUUAUUUAUUGCAAGUAUUGUACUUCAAACUUCUGGAGGGAAAAAAAGUAGUGUACUUCAAAUCACCAUUCUGAACUCUGCAUUUUCAAUCUAAUUUAUAGGUUCACCUGCAUUAAAGUCAACAAUAUAAUUGUUUUAAACACGAUUCAACAGCAUAAUAUGAUUCAAUUUAAUUGUUUUUUUUCUUAAAUCCUAAUAAAUAAGAUUUCCAGAAAUUAAAAGAUACUUAGUUACUCAGCUUUUAAGUUCACAAAUUCAUAUAUAUUUCUCUUUUCCUUGGGUCUUUAGAUUUCGAUUUUAAAAAUAAAAUAAAGAAAAGUGUUCAAAUGUAGUUAAUAUCUCUAGUUUAGUUAUGAAUUGAUUACGCCAUUGAUUAAGCACAAAUUCAUGAUGGUCAUUUUGAAUCGACCGUUGAUUAAAAAAUUUCCUCAAAUAUUCACUCUAUAACAGUCCCAUGUUGAUGGCGUUGGGAAGUGUUUUCCAGAAAUGUUUUCCAUUUUUAAAAGCAUGAAUAUCGGGAAAAAAAAAAAUGGGAAAUACAGCGUUUUAGUUUAGUUAUUUUAAAAAUAGGCAUGUUUGAAAAUUAAAAAUUUUUAAAAACUAGCAUCAAGAUGAAAAAUGAAUUUAGAAUAUUUAAAAAUUACCUGAAAUUCUUUCUCUGUUCCUAAUACUAAAUAGUGUAAAUGCAUUUUCAUUAUCUUUGUUUUUCUGGUCUUCUAUUUAUUUAUUUUUGUUUUAAUUUUUUCCUUUUUUUCUUUAACAAAAAAUAUCUAGUAGACAUUCAUGGUUUGUUAUUUUUCAUAAAACAAUUGUAUGAUUUUGACAUACUUUGAAUCUAGUUGAAUGCUACUCUUUAUUUUCAGGUUGGAAUUCCCAAUAGUCUAGUGAAUCUUAAUGUAUCAUACUGUGAAAAAAUAGAAGAAAUCAUAGGACAUGUUGGAGAAGAAGCGAAGGAGAAUCGUAUUGCUUUCAACGAAUUAAAACAUUUGGAACUUGAUCAUUUACUAAGGCUUACCAGCUUUUGUUUGGAGAAUUACACUCUUGAAUUCCCAUCAUUGGAACGAGUAUCUGUGACACAUUGUCCGAACAUGAAGACUUUUUCUCAGGGAAUCGUAUCCACACCAAAGUUGCACGAAGUGCAGGUGAGUAAAAAGGAAGUAUUAAGUUUUAUAUGAAACUGUGAUGUUGUUUGGUUACUAAGAAAAUAGGAAGAAAGAAAACUUCUGUAAGCUGAGAAUUCUGUUAUUAUUGACCUAAUGAAUCUGGAAAUUACAAGCCUUUUUAUAUGUGCAUAGAAGAUUCUACACACAUUGCACACACGCACAGUUUAAUACUAACAACCUCUAUAACAACCUUUAGCUGACUCAGCUGCCAUGUCAGCAUACUCAUUAACUAACUAAUUCUAUUCUUAACAGGAAGAGGGUGAAUUGCGCCGUUGGGAAGGCAACCUUAAUUCCACUAUACAAAAGUGUUACGAAGAAAUGGUAUGUGUUAAAUCGAUUCGUCGAAAUUACUUAUGCAUCUCCCUUGCACUUGCACAUUUAAGUAUAUACACCUGCCUUGUAUAUAUAGUUUUAGAAGUUAAAACACAAAACAUGUAAGUUUAAUGUAUAUAUAUCUAAUGCCUUUCAAAAAGAAAAAAAAUUGUAUAUAUCCAGUGCAAUUGUUUUGGUUUGUGCAGAUUGGAUUUCGUGACAUAAUGCGUUUGCAACUUUCGCAUUUUCCACGUUUGCAAGAAAUAUGGCAUGGCCAAGCACUGCCUGUCAGCUUCUUCAACAAUUUAAGAGAGCUGGUGGUGGAUGACUGCACGAAUAUGUCGAGUGCUAUUCCUGCCAAUCUGCUACGGUGCUUGAACAAUUUGGAAUACCUGGCAGUGAGGAAUUGUGAUUCACUAGAAGAGGUGCUUCAUUUGGAAGAACUAAUUAAUGCUGAGGAAGAACAUUUUGGCCAACUGUUCCCUAAUCUUUACGAGCUAAAGCUCAUUGAUCUUCCAAAACUCAAAAGAUUCUGCAACUUCACUGGGAAUAUAAUUGAACUGCCUAAGUUGGACAAUCUAACUAUUGAGAAUUGCCCUAGUAUGGAAACACUGCCUGUCAGCUUCUUCAACAAUUUAAGAGACCUGGUGGUGGAUGACUGCACGAAUAUGUCGAGUGCUAUUCCUGCCAAUCUGCUACGGUGCUUGAACAAUUUGGCAUGGCUGAAAGUGAGGAAUUGUGAUUCACUAGAAGAGGUGCUUCAUUUGGAAGAGCUAAGUGCUAAGGAAGAACAUAUAGGCCCCAUGUUUCCUGAGCUUUCCCUGCUAGGGCUCAUUGAUCUUCCAAAACUCAAAAGAUUCUGCAACUUCACUGGGAAUAUAAUUGAAAUGCCUAAGUUGGAAUAUCUCAUUAUUGAGAAUUGCCCUGAUAUGGAAACAUUCAUAUCCAACUCUGUAGUGCACGUGACAACAGAUAACAAGGAACCUCAAAAAUUAACAUCAGAAGAGAACUUCUUGCUGGCUCAUCAAGUACAACCUCUCUUUGAUGAAAAGGUGAUUAUUAUUAUUAUUAUUAUUUUUCCCUUCACUUUCGUUUCAUAGAUGUAAUUUCAUUAGAAUCAAAUCAAAUUUAAUGACUCAUCUUUUUGCACGUCGUCUUAAUUUUUAUAUGAUUUAACAAUAUAACUGCAGUUAUUAACUAUCUUUAUAGUAUGAAUUAUAAAAAUGUCUGAAAUUAAUUGGAUGCCUGAUAACACGAGGUGAUCUAUUAAUUAUGUGUAUUACAUCUCUGUUUUCCUAGCUAAUUCAUAUUGGAUUUAGCAUCAGAUUUCAUUUAUGUGUUUCAAAGGGUAAUCGAUUUGAUACUUAUAUUUGGGAUCCUACUGCAAAGCAUACUAAUUUGGAAAUAAAAUAUAAAAUGCCGUGAUUAAUCUUGUCCAUAAAAUAUGCAGGGGAAGACUGCAGAGAUUGGAUACAUAUUUUCAUUUACAACUUAAUUUUGUUGAUUUUUAGGUUGCAUUCCCUCAAUUGAGUUGGUUAACGCUAUCUGGAUUACACAAAGUGCAGCAUCUCUGGAAGGAAAAUGACGAAUCCAACAAAGCGUUUGCAAACUUGGCAAGUCUAGAAAUAUCGGAAUGUAUUCAGUUGCAAAAAUUAGUACCACCUUCGUGGCAUUUGGAAAAUAUGUGGGGACUGGAAGUAUCGAAGUGUCACGGGUUGAUAAAUGUGUUGACGCUCUCAGCAUCUAAAAAUCUAGUGAACCUUGAAAGAAUGAAGAUAGCUGAUUGCAAAAGGAUAGAAGAAAUCAUACAGUCGCCGGUUGCAGAAGAAGCGAAAGAUUGCACUGUUUUCAAGAAAUUGAAGUACUUGACACUUGAUUGUUUGCCAAGCCUAACAAGCUUUUGUUUAGGUAAUUACGCUCUUGAAUUCCCGUCCUUGAAACAAGUAGUUGUGAGACAGUGUCCAAAAAUGAAGAUCUUCUCUCAAGGAGUCUUAGACACACCAAUGCUAAACAAAGUGAACGUCACCGAAGAAGAAAAAGAUGAUGAUGAUGAAGGAUGUUGGGAAGGCAACCUCAAUGACACCAUAAAAAAAUUGUUCAAUGAAAUGGUGAGUAUCAAUUAAGUUUUGAUGCUAUUUAGCAAAUUAUUUUAUAGAAACUAAUGUGAUAUAAUAUGAUUGGUUGACUGAAAAUAUAUAAUAAUAAUAAUAAUAAUAAAUAAAUAAAUAAAUAAAUUAUGAGGACCAUGUAAUGUUUUUGUUUAAUCAAUCAUAUUAUGUCGCAUUAGUUUAUACAAUAUUAUUUGUGCACAAGAGGUGGUGGUCAUAUCAUUACUCUAGCUUUAUUAUUCUUAUGGUGGCAAUGUAUGCUUGCUUACACGAGUAAUUACAAAAUCUGCAGAAUUCUAAAGAAGAGAUUGAGCCAACCCUUCAGGUACAGUGAAGAAGCUAUCCCGAACCAGGCCAAUCUCUUAUACAUGAUUCAGCUUGCUCGUUCUUCUGUACUUGAAUAAUUUGGUUCUAUAUAUUUACAAUUUUUCGCUCAUGCUACAGACUUGCAAGACACUUUGGAUUUUGUUUGAUGCAUUCUCCGUUUAAGAAAGGACUUGAAUUGAUGUUUCAUGUUUCAUGCAAUAUUCAAUUAGAUUCUGCCUAAAUUUCUGUAUUAUUCGUUCAAUUGGUCUUUUAAGCAUUUGAUUUCUAACCUCUCCUAAUGGAAGAUCAUUAUCUGAAGAAAACAGCAUAACAUUUGUGGCAUUAUCAGAAUAAGAAUAUUUUUGAGUAUAGUAAAAUUAUCUCCACCACUGUUAAAAAGAAUUAAUCAGUCAAACUGACCUCACACCAGCACGCUUUAAAUUAAAAGAAUUUCGUGAAGUCGAGACCAUGUUAUAGAUCUCAUGGAAAGAAGUAAACCCGUAAUUUUUUUCACAGCAUCAUAAGAAAAAUCAUUUUUUUUAAGUAUUUUUGCUAGCUGUUGAGUUUUAAUAGUAGUAGCUAUUAAACAAUAACAAUUAGUGUAUAUUAAAAAGUUGGAAACUGGUUGAUACCACUCGGGAAUCGAGCAGUUCACUUGUUUGCGAGUAGAAACCUACUUUACUACUAAUUACACUCAUACCAAAAAUAGUAACUAAAGAAUCAGGAAAUUUCCUAUUCACUAUUCUUCAUUUUUUAAUGCAAAAUUCCCAUUCGAAAACACCAAUGACUUUCAUUCAAAGUAAAUGAGAAAUUACAAUGAAAAUAGAAUCAAAAUACAUGUAUGUAUACCUAAAACAAAUGAUUUUUUUAAUUAAAAAAAAAACACAGUUGAGGUGAAAUGAAACCAGAGUCAUGAUAUCUCUGGUUCCAGCUUUGGGACAACAGCAGACUUGAGUUCUCUAUGAGAAACACGUACAACACCAAUCAGCCGCUCCGGUAAUUCAUCUGUAGUAUUUGCCUGCAUACAGAAGAGCAAGAUAAAGAAGACACACACAGAAGCAUUAUAUCAUUCUGAGAACAUUCAAGUAUGCAAAAAUGCAAGUUGCAGUGCAAUAUCUCAAAAUCAUGUCUUUUCCCUUGUGUCCAUUUAGCAGUGGGGGAAAAAAACAAUCAUACAUACCUGUACAAGGAAAGCCAUGUCAACCACCAAUGUCGUAAUUACACCAAUUACAAGGCCCAAAACUCCAUUAGCAACAGUAGAAGAAUCGAUGUCAACAUCAAUCUACAGAAAGAUGAACAAUGUUAAACCAUGUUAAAGGUAUUGGACGCUAUUUGAAAGGGGAACAUCUCAUGUACUAUAGAAAUUCCAAGAGCAUUUACUUCUAAGUACUUGGGACCGCGAAUAUAGUUACAAUCAACUGCCUUCCCCAAUAAACAAGGGGUGCUUCCAACACUCUGGCGCACUAUCCAUGACCCCUGCAUGAUUCAGUGCUGAAAAUCAAGAACAAGUGCAAAACAAAUUCAAGAGGGUAAAAAGGAGAUAAAGUUUGAAGGUACAACCCAUCAAUACAUUCACACCUAAAUGCAUGCCUUCUUUGUACAAAUUGAAGUGUACCAUGCAGUAAAGGGUAAGUAUACGUUAAUAUAGUCCUACUACAUGAAGGCCAAGAUGGAUACCUUAGGAACAGAUGGAAUAAGUUUCAACCUACUAUUGCGAAAUUCAUCAUCGCCAUCAACAAACCGUUGCAAAAGUGAUCCCGUAACCAAUUGCCUUGUGACAAAAUAAAAUACCAUACUAUAAUGUGUUGAACCAGGAACCUGCAGAUGCUUAGGUUACAACUAUACAACCUCCCAAUACAAUAAGUUUGAAACUUAUACCUUCUGAAAUGAAACAAACUUUCUUGAAGAUUAAAGAUCAGUGAGAAAAGCCCUUUUUCAGAAGCAACCUACAUAUUUUAGAAUAGGGCUCAGUGCGUUAUAGAUUCAAUGAACCAUGAGAAGUUAUUUACAUUGUUGUAUCUCACAGGCAGUCUUUUCUCCUAAUGUAUCAAGGGAAAAUGCUAGUGAAUUGAAUGAAGCUAGAGCAGAGCAUGAUGUUGCUGUGUAGCUGACUUUAGCAGAUCAACUCACUAAGCUAACCUGGCAAAGUUAUUUAGCUGGUUGAGCUGAUGUGUCAAAUUAGUUAUGCAGCAAAUGGUUAUGUGAUGUAACAAACUCGUGUGUGUGUUGAGCAAAUUGUAGCUUAAUAUAAAUAUCAGUCUGUAUUCAUUCAGUUGUAAUGCUAAAGUAAUAAAGGUUCUACAAACUUCUUUACAGAGCUUUCUUUUAUUUUCUUCAUUUUCUAGCUUGCCAAACAAUGCAAAACUAAGUUUCUUUCAUGGUAUUAGAGCCAUAAAUGGCGAAUACAGUUCAAAAUAACAACUCUUUUAGUUUUGUUACGCCUGUAAAGCUAGACCAAAACAACUUCAUUUUAUGGCGGGCACAAAUUUUAGCAUCGAUCAAAGGAAACGGUCUGGAAGGGUUUAUCAAUGGUGAUCAAGAAUGUCCUGAGCAGUUUCUUUCUUCUGGAAACAACAAUGGAGCUGAAAUUUUUACUGAAUCUGAAUCCAAAUCUAUUAAUCCAGAGUUCAUAGCUUGGAUGAAGACUGAUCAACUUCUGUUGAGUUAGAUGAUGUCGUCGAUACAGCAAAAUCUACUUGCUACUGUGAUUGACUCCACAACUUCAAAACAGCUUUGGAAGACUCUUACUAGUAUGUUUAUUUCUUAAUCACAAGCUAGAAUUCAAACACUUAGAAUGCAGAUUCAAACUAUUAAGAAAGGUGCAAUGCAUAUGUCUGAUUACUUUGCAAAAGUAAAACGUAUAGCUGAUACUUUAGCUCUAGCUGGAAAACCUGUUGAGUUAAGUGAUCUUGUGAUGCAUGUAUUAACUGGUCUUGAUUCAUCAGAUUAUGAAUCUUUAGUCACAGGUGUUUUAGCUCGAGGUGAGAAGAUAACAUUAGAUGAACUAUAUCCUUUGCUAUUGAAUCAUGAAAAUAGAGUUGAACAAAAGAAAGGAAAAAUUGCUGGUGAUGUGAUGCACAAUAUGACAGCAAAUAUUGCUCAAAAGAACUCAUAUGCUGGAAAGAAUAAUGGCAAUUUUCAAAAAAAUUAUGGAAAUAAUUCUAGGUAUGGAGGUUUUAAUGGAUAUGGAUAGGGUCAGUUUAAUAAUGGUGGUAAUUCCUCUGAAAUUGUUUGUCAAAUCUGCUUCAUACCUGGUCAUGCAGCCAAUAGAUGCAAAAAUAGGUACAAUUCAUCUUUUGUUCCACAGAGAAACUAUGGCAGAGGUAAUAUGAAUGGUGGCAGAGGUUUUAAUCAAGGGCAAUAUGGUAGAGGAAGAGCUUUUAAUAGUAAUGGUGGCAGAGGUUUUGGAGGUUUUGGUUUAAAUGCUGGUUUUGGCUAUGCACCCAGGGGUUUUGGCUAUCAAGGAAAUAUGGUGUAUCCAGAUAGUAAUCCUUCUGCUUAUUACUCAUUCACCCCUGGACCAUCUACUUUUGUUUCUGGUCAAGGAAAUAAUAAUCCUGGACAGUCAAGUGCUUCAUCUUCCUCAGCUAUGCCUUCUUCACUUCCACCAGAACACAUUGAAGAUCCUUCAUGGUAUAUUGAUAGUGGAGCAACAAAUCACAUUACAAAUGAUCUAGGUAAACUUCUGGAUUCACAAAUUUAUACUAGUACUGAAAAAUUAUUUGUUGGAGAUGGAAAUGCAUUAGCUAUUACACAUGUAGGAUCAGUUGUGCUAAAUACUUCAACUUCUAAACCUUUAAAAACCAUGUUCUUCAUGUCCCUUUUAUUACUAAGAAUUUGCUUAGCAUUUCAAAAUUAUUGGCUGACAAUCCAGUUACUGUUGGAAUUUCUUGGUGAUUUGUUUUUUAUAAAGGCUAGGAACACAAGGAAAAUUUUACUUGAAGGUGUUGCUAAAGGUGACUUGUAUAGAGUCUCUUCACAUGUUGCUGCUCAUUCAGUCUUUCUCAAUUCAGUUGGUCAAAAUAAAAUUCACUCUCUUUGCUUGUUCUCCUGUUUUCAAUUCUGAUCAGCUCACUGCUGUUAGUUCUUAUGAAUUGAAUAAAAAGCCAUGUCUGUCAGUUGUUACAAAGAGUUCUAUUGAUGUAAAUCUUCUUCAUAGAAGAUUAGGACACCCAGCAUCUUAUACUCUCAAAACUAUACUCAAAACUUGUAACAACUCUACUGCUUAUAAUAAAAUUGAAAGCUUGAAAUUUUGUUCAGCAUGUCAAUAUGGGAAAAAUCAUAUGCUGCAUUUUGAUUCAGUUGAAACAAAAACUUCAGCACCCUUACAAGUGAUAUAUGCAGAUCUUUGGGGUCCUUCUCAUGUCUGUUCUACCCAAGGAUAUAAUUACUACUUAUCAAUCUUAGAUGAUUAUAGUAGAUUUACCUGGAUAUUUCCAUUGUCAGCCAAAUCUGAUGCUCUUGAAGUGUUUACCAAUUUCAAAAUUUUUAUUGAAAAGCAUCUUCAACUUCAAAUCAAAACUGUCCAAACUGAUUGGGGAGAAGAGUUCAGAACAUUUUCCUCAUUACUCACUGCUUCUGGUAUCCAUUUUAGACACCCUUGCCCACAUAUUCAUCAUCAAAAUGGAAGAAUUGAGAGGAAACAUAGACACAUAGUUGAUGUAGGUCUGACCUUAUUAGCUCAAGCACAUUUACCACUCAAAUUUUGGUGGAAUGCAUUCCACACAGCUGUCUAUUUGAUAAACAGACUUCCAACUCCAAUUCUAAACAACAUUUCUCCUUUCCAAAAGUUAUUUCAUCAUCAACCAGAUUAUUCAACACUUAAAACCUUCGGUUGUGCUUGUUAUCCAACACUCAGACCAUACAAUAGACAUAAGUUUGAUUUCAGAACUGCCAGAUGUAUAUUCAUUGGCUACAAUUCACAACACAAGGGAUAUCAGUGUCUUCACUCUUCUAAGAGGGUUUACAUUUCAAAUCAUGUCACCUUUGAUGAAAAUUCUUUUCCUUAUGAGUCUGGAGCAGAUUUUUCUUCACUCUCUUCAAGUUGUCAGUCAACAAAAAAUUAUAAGUCUUCUUUCAAUUCCUCUGUUCCUUCUAUUACUCAGUUACAAGCACCUUUAGCAGCAUCAUCAGAACACCAUCAAAAUGUUCAUCAUUCAGAUGCUCCUACUCCCUCACCAAAUUCUACUCCACUUUAUUUUUCUGAUAAUUCCAACUCAGCUUCUUCUUCUUCACCACCACAUAAUUCACCUCCACAUACAUUGCCACAACCUGCAUCAACUGGUCAUCCAAUGAUAACCAGGUCAAAAGCAGGUAUUUUCAACCCAAAAAUUUAUUUGUCAGCUUUAUUAGCCCAGAAAUCAGAACCAACUUCUGUUUCCCAAGCACUUUCUGAUCCUAUGUGGUAUAAGGCUAUGCAAGAAGAGUAUCUAGCACUUAAAACUAAUCACACCUAGGAUUUAGUUUUACAUGCUACUCCAGUGAAGAUAGUUGGCAGCAAAUGGGUGUUUUGAAUAAAGUAUAACUCAGAUGGUUCAGUUUCAAGAUAUAAAGUCAGGCUUGUUGCAAAGGGGUUUCAUCAGACACAUGGGAUUGACCAUACAGAAACUUUUAGUCCAGUGGUUAAAGCUUCAACUGUUAGAGUUAUUCUUAGCUUAGCAGUAUUGAAUCAAUGGGUGAUUAGGCAAGUAGAUGUUAAUAAUGCCUUUCUAAAUGGCAUUUUAAUUGAAGAGGUGUACAUGGCUCAACCUGAAGGUUUUGUUGACUCAACUAAACCUAAUCAUAUCUGCAAGCUGAAUAAAGCUUUGUAUGGCUUAAAACAGGCACCUAGAGCCUGGUUUGAUAGAUUCAAGGAUGCAAUGAUCUCUAAACGGCAUUUCCAGCAUUCAAGGUCUGAUAACUCUCUGUUUCAUGCCUGGAACAGUGGUCAUCUAACUCUUGUUUCGGUCUAUGUUGAUGAUAUUAUCAUCACUAGUUCCAGUCCAACACUAAUUCAGCAAGUUAUUAAGAUUAUGAAUUUGCUUUAAAAGACAUGGGGGAACUUAGCUAUUUUCUGGGGAUUGAAGUCAGCAAGUCUUCACAAGGGGUUUCCUUGACACAAGCAAAGUAUAUUACUGACAUUCUGGAUAAACAUGGCAUGACAGAUUGCAGUCCUGUGCCUACUCCAAUGUCUACUGGUUAUUAUCUCACAAAAGAAUCAGGAGAGCUAAUUGAUAAUGUUUCUCAAUAUAGGAGUGUUAUAGGAGCUCUUCAAUAUGUUACUCUUACCAGACCUGACAUUGCUUUCUCUGUAAACAACCUAAGUCAAUUCCUUUCAAGUCCUAGAACACAACAUUGGGAAACAUGCAAAAGGUUAUUGAGGUACUUAAAAGGCACUAUACAUCUUGGGCUGCAAUUUAAUAACAAAGGAGCUUUGCAACUACAUUGUUUUUCAAAUUCUGACUGGGCUUGUGAUCGUGAUGAUAAGAAGUCAGUGGCUGGCUUUGCUGUUUACCUAGGCCCUAAUCUAGUCUCAUGGUCAUCAAAGAAACAAGCUGUUGUUUCCAGGUCCAGCACAGAGGCUGAGUAUAGAUCUCUUGCUCAUGCUGAUUCAGAGGUUCCCUGGUUACAAUCUUUACUUGGUGAACUUAACAUCAAAUUGAGCUCUACUCCUAUGAUGUGGUGUGAUAAUCAAGAAGCAAUUGCUUUAGCUUACAAUCCAGUCUAUCAUGCUAAAACUAAGCAUGUCGAAUUGGAUAUACAUUUUAUCCGAGAUAAAGUUACUGCUAAAGAGAUUGAAGUAUGUUUUGUGCCCAGUCAAGAUCAAACAGCAGAUGUGUUGACUAAGGCUUACUUUCAAACAGUUUAGUUACUUAAGAAGCAAGCUGAAUGUUCAUCCUAAACAUUUCAGCUUGAGGGGGGAUGUUAGUGAAUUGAAUGAAGUUGGAGCAGAGCAUGAUGUUGCUGUGUAGCUGACUGUAGCAGAUCAACUCACUAGGCUGACCUGGCAAAGUUAGUUAGCUGGUUGAGCUGAUGUGUCAAAUUAGUUAUGCAGCAAAUGGUUAUGUGAUGUAACAAACUUGUGUGUGUGUUGAGCAAAUUGUAGCUUAAUAGAAAUAUCAGUCUGUAUUCAUUCAGUUGUAAUGCUAGAGUAAUAAAGGUUCUACAAACUUCUUUACAGCGCUUUCUUUUAUUUUCUUUCAUUUUCUAGCUUGCCAAACAAUACAAAACUAAGUUUCUUUCAGAAAAGGAAAAAUAAAAAGAAAAGAAUAGUUACUGUUGAAAAUAAAGAUUCAAAGUUAUGAUUUCUUUGUAAUCUAGGCUAUUUUAGGAAUAAGUUAAAUUAUAAUGGGAAGAUUCAUUAGGAUUUUUUCCAGAUUUUGUUUCCUAUUAUUUAGGAAAGGAUAGAUGUAGUCUCCUAUUUUCUCUCCUAUUUUGCUGUAUAUAUUCCCUGUACAUACUGUUCUGGAAAGUAAGAAAAAGAGGAACCAAUUCACAUUUUUCUUCAUGGUAUCAGAGCCUGGCUCUAAACCCUAGUUCUCCUAUCAGCCGCCAUUUCCUUCUUCUCUCAUAAAUUGAACAAUCUACCUUCCUUCCUCUCCCAUCAAUUGUAUUCUCUGUGGCAAAAUACGGGAUGGCUUCCUCAUCAACCUCUGUUACAGUAUCACAGUCUAAAGGAAACGUGGAGACUGCAACUCAUGGUGGAAUUGAUUCUUCACCGAUCUUAAUUACCAGUCAUAAAUUGAACGGCCACAAUUAUCUCCAGUGGUCACAAUCUGUCAUGAUGUUCAUCUGUGGCAAGGGUAAGGAUGAUUAUCUCACGGGUGAGGCGGCCAUGCCAAAGGUAUCAGACCCUAGUUUCAAAAGGUGGAAGUCAGAGAACAACAUGAUCAUGUCAUGGCUUAUCAAUUCCAUGAACAAUGAUAUUGGUGAGAAUUUUCUUCUGUUUGGGACUGCAAAGGACAUAUGGGAUGCUGCAAAGGAAACCUAUUCUAGCUCUGAGAACACAUCAGAGUUAUUCCAGAUUGAAACCAUCCUCCAUGACUUCCGCCAAGGAGAACAAUCUGUCACUCAGUACUUUAAUACUCUGACUAGGCAUUGGCAACACCUUGAUCUAUUUGAAACAUACCCUUGGAAGUGCACCGACGAUACAACCUUGUACAAGAAGAUUGUGGAACAGAAGAGAACGUUUAAAUUUCUCCUCGGACUCAAUAAAGAUCUUGAUCAGGUUAGGAGCCGUGUACUCGGGACAAAGCCUCUACCACGCCCUCGUGAAGCCUUUUCUGAAGUUAGGCAUGAAGAAAGUAGGAAAAAGGUGAUGAUGGGGUCAUCAGAACCAACACUGGACGCCUCUGCACUUGCUGCCCGUGCAUCCAACUCUGUAGGGGUUAGUGAAAAUCGUACAAAGAAAGAAAGACCAUGGUGCGAUCACUGUCGUAAGGCAGGCCACUAUAAGGAGAGUUGCUGGAAAAUUUAUGGCAAGCCUGCUGAUUGGAAACCUCGUUCCAAAGGUGACCGUGAAUCUCGUGCUCAUGCAGCAUCCACCACGGACAAUCAGGCCCUACCCGAGCCAAAUCCAUUCAGCAAGGAGCAAAUGGAGAUUCUUCAAAAGCUUUUCGAUCAAGCCACUUUGAACUCCAAUGCAGGGACAAGUCUAGUGGCUCAGAAAGAGACUCAUUCAGCAUUUGCAGCCACUAAUGGAGCAAGCAAACCUUGGAUAAUUGACACUGGUGCUUCUGAUCACAUGACUGGAGAUGCCUCAAUGUUGCAGGAUUAUAAAGCUAGCAUCAACAGCACUUCAGUCUGGAUCGCAGAUGGCUCUCACACAAAAAUAGCAGGGACAGGUUCCAUCAGACUCACUAAGGAGUUACACCUUAAUUCUGUACUUUAUGUGCCUAAUUUGGCUUGCAAUUUACUUUCAAUCAGUAAAUUCACUCGUGAUCAGAAUUGUGUAACUAAAUUCUAUCCAAAUAUGUGCGUUUUUCAGGACUUGGAUUCGCGAAGACGAUUGGCAGUGCUGAGCUAUGUUCUGGACUCUAUCUACUCAAAAGCGAUCAAUCCUCCUUCAUACAAGAUUCGAGAGCAAACUGUGCCAAGUCCAAUAGUCUGUCAACUAGUUAUCCUCAUUCUAUUGUUAGUCCAAAUGUCAAUAACGAUAGUGAAAUUGUUCUGUUACACUAUCGAUUAGGUCAUUCUAGUUUCAUGUAUCUCGCAAAAAUUUUUCCCAAUCUAUUCAUCAAUAAAAACCCUUUAUCAUUUCAUUGUGAAAUUUGUCAAUUUGCAAAACAUACUCGAAAUGUUUAUUCAAGUGUUAAGUAUAAGCCUUCUCGUCCAUUUGCUUUAAUUCACAGUGAUGUGUGGGGUCCCUCAAGAAUUAAAAAUGUUUCUGGGGCUCGCUGGUUUUUGUCAUUUGUGGAUGAUCAUACUCGUCUCACUUGGGUGUUUCUCAUGAAAAACAAAUCCGAAGUUAGUCAAAUCUUCCAAAACUUUAACGCCAUGAUUCAAACCCAAUUCAAUACCAAAAUCCAAGUCCUUAAAACCGACAAUGCCAAGGAAUAUUUCAAAGACUCCCUCAGCUCAUAUCUUCUCCAUCAAGGCAUUCUUCACAUCAGUUCUUGUGUUGACACCCCGCAACAAAAUGGGGUCGCUGAACGCAAAAACAGACACCUUCUUGAAGUGGCUCGCUGUCUUUUGUUCUCAUCUCAUGUUCCUAAUUUUUUCUGGGGUGAAGCUGUUCUCACUGCAGCCUACUUAAUCAACCGAAUGCCUUCUAGAGUCUUGGGGUUUCAUUGCCCAAGAAAAGUUCUUCUCAAUUUCUUUCCACACACUAGGAUUGUUUCAGCAGAUUUACCACAAAAAAUAUUCGGUUGCACAGCAUAUGUCCAUGUUCACUCUCAACACAGGACUAAACUUGAUCCCCGAUCUCUCAAGUGUAUAUUUUUAGGCUAUUCUCCACAUAAAAAAGGAUACAAAUGCUAUUCUCCUCAUACCAGAAAAAUAUACAUUUCCAGAGAUGUAACAUUUGUUGAAAACCUGCCUUUAUAUUCCAAAACUGUUGUUCAGGGAGAGAGUAUGAGCGAACAUCAGCCUUGGGAAUCUUCUUGGCAAUCUUGGCUGGAAACCCCUCAUGAAAACCCUCAUAACUCAACCACCACACAUGAUCAAUCUAUCCAACAGCCACAAUCAGCAAUCCUCCCAACAUCUUCACAACCUUUUGAGUCAUCUGAGUCCUCCCAACCACAAUCAGCCGAGUCACCCCGUCAUCCAUCAGCCCAUCAACUACAGCCUCUAAUCUCACCUCUUCCACAGCUUGCUGUUGAUAAUCUUAAUGUUUAUAGGAGGAGAAGAACUGGAGAGCAGAUAGAGCACAGAACUCAGCCACAUGUCCAAGAAACUGAACCAAAUCCAAGCUCUUAUGAAGACAACACAGGUAUGGAUAGUCUUGCCUCGGUUGAGUUCAUGGUUCCAAGUGUGGAUGAUUCUAAUAAAUCAAUUGCAGAAAGAAAGGGGGUUCAAAGUUGUACCACUCAUCCAAUUGCCAAAUAUGUCUCAUAUGAUGGUUUGUCCCCAUCAUACCGAGCCUUUGUUUCUUCUUUAGAUAAUCUACAUGUUCCCAACAAUAUACAAGAGGCUCUCGGUCAUCCUGAGUGGAAGAGAGCUGUUCAUGAAGAAAUAAAUGCUCUUGAGAAAAAUGAUACAUGGGUUAUAACAGAUCUUCCUGCAGGGAAACGACCAGUUGGAUGUAAGUGGAUUUUUACUGUUAAAUACAAGGCAGAUGGAAGUGUUGAGAGCCUCAAAGCUCGUCUUGUAGCUAAAGGGUUCACACAGUCAUAUGGGAUUGAUUAUCUUGAAACCUUUGCUCCGGUUGCGAAGCUCAACACCAUUAGAAUCUUGCUCUCCUUAGCAGUAAAUCUAGAUUGGUACUUAUACCAACUAGAUAUAAAAAAUGCGUUUCUCAAUGGCGAUCUUGAAGAAGAAGUGUUUAUGGAAGUUCCCCAGGGUCUUGAUCUGAAUCUUACUAGAAAUAAAGUGUGCAAGCUCAAGAAAUCUUUGUAUGGGCUUAAACAAUCCCCUCGAGCAUGGUUUGAUAGAUUUGCGAAGGCAGUUGUGAGACUUGGUUACACUCAGUGUCAGGCAGAUCACACUUUAUUCCUCCGAACAUCACAAGCAAAGAAGAUCUCUCUCCUAAUCGUAUAUGUUGAUGACAUCAUUCUCUCAGGAAAUGAUGAGGAAGAACUGCAGAAGUUGAAGAAACAGCUAGCUCAGGAAUUCGAAGUUAAAGAUCUAGGGAAUCUGAAAUAUUUUCUUGGGAUGGAGGUGGCAAGAUCUAGGAAGGGAAUUGUUGUCUCCCAAAGGAAAUACACCCUGGACUUACUAAAGGAGACUGGUAUGAUUGGGUGCAAACCAGUAGAUACUCCUAUGGAUCCCUACAAGAAACUAGGCUCAGUUGAGAAUAGUGUUCCAGUCAAUAGAGGGAGAUAUCAAAGACUGGUUGGUCGUUUAAUUUAUCUCUCACAUACCCGUCCGGACAUAGGCUUUGUUGUUAGUGUUGUGAGCCAAUUCAUGCACAAUCCUACAGAGGAACACAUGGAUGCAGUCUUUAGAAUUUUGAAGUAUCUAAAGAUGACACCUGGAAAAGGAUUGUUUUUCAAGAAAUCAGAAUAUAGGAAUAUUGAGAUCUACUCUGAUGCAGACUGGGCUGGAGACAUCACAAAUAGAAGAUCAACAUCUGCUUACUGUUCCUAUGUCUGGGGAAAUCUAGUAACCUGGAGGAGUAAGAAACAAUCAGUUGUAGCUAGGAGUAGUGCAGAAGCAGAGUUCAGAGCUUUGGCAAAUGGAAUCUGUGAAGGAAUUUGGAUAAAGCGUGUACUCAAGGAACUCGGUGUGUGCAGCCCUUCAUCCAUUCUAAUGAGGUGUGACAAUCAAGCAGCAAUCAGCAUCGCAAAAAACCCAGUGCAUCAUGAUCGAACCAAACAUGUCGAGAUUGAUAGGCACUUCAUCUCAGAGAAGGUCACUAGUGGAAGUGUGGAACUAAAGUACAUUCCAACUAGACAACAAAUUGCAGACAUCCUUACUAAAGCACUGCCAAGACCUAACUUUGAAGACUUAAGUAACAAGCUGGGUUUGUAUGAUAUACACACACCAGCUUGAGGGGGAGUGUUGAAAAUAAAGAUUCAAAGUUAUGAUUUAUUUGUAAUCUAGGCUAUUUUAGGAAUAAGUUAAAUUAUAAUGGGAAGAUUCAUUAGGAUUCUUUCUAGAUUUUGUUUCCUAUUAUUUAGGAAAGGAUAGAUGUAGUCUCCUAUUUUCUCUCCUAUUUUGCUGUAUAUAUUCCCUGUACAUACUGUUCUGGAAAGUAAGAAAAAGAGGAACCAAUUCACAUUUUUCUUCAGUUACUUGUGCAGUACAGCCUUGACGCCUAGCUACAUGGUCCAUUCUCUUUGUGUCUUUGAACCAAUCAACAGCAACAAGAUCCAUUAAAUGUUUUCCCGCAGGUGUCUGCAGUUACAAAUUGCACAAAGCACAAGAGCCAACCAAACUACAUCAUAACAUGUCGACCUAGCAUAUGCAGGAUAUAUAAAUACCAUAACAAACAACCAAAAUAUGGGGGAACCUUUGUUUUGUCAUAACAAAAAUGCUUGCUACGAACUCUAAAGUUAUUUCCACCAGAAAGUUUCCAGCAGUCACGAGCAUUAUCACAGUCAUCGUGUCGCAGAUUGCCGGAAAAAUAAGACAAAUCAAUUUGAUCAGCCUGCUCUUCCUCUAGGGUAACAACUAAUUGAAAAUUAUAAACCAAAAAAAAAAAAUCAAUACCAUAAAAAUCCACUAAUGAGGACAUUAGCCAAAUAUACAAAAAUGAAUACUUAUCAUCCACCUGUCCUCUUGAAAUCAUUCUCAAUCUUUUUUUCAUUUGCCUGAAAUCCCAAGGAAAAAUAUGGAACUAAUACUUCCCAUUCAUGACUAUUGUCUGUCAUAUAAACAUGACAUUUAAUUGAAAUAGUAAAAUUAUUUAAUUAUUUUAAUUAAAUGUUAAUCCUAUAAAUUAUUUUUGUUAAAUCUAGCAAGAAUAACUAACAUUUCUUUAAGAUAUAUUUUGGCGGUAAAUUAAAAAAAAUUAAUUAUUUGGCGGGAAUUAUUGAAAUUGGAGCCAUUUUUUUGUGGGAAUUGAAAUAUAUUCUUUAAAUUAUUAUAUAAAAAGAAAAAUGUACAUACACACACAUAUAUAUAAUUUAUAUAUAAAAAUUCUCUAAUUUGUUCACAAGUAUCAUAGAUUAUAAUUCAGUUAUGAAAUAAAAUAACUACAAGGAAAAAUAUGUAACUAAUACUUCCCAUUCAUGACUAUUGUCUGUCAUAUAAACAUGACAUUUAAUUGAAAUAGUAAAAUUAUUUAAUUAUUUUAAUUAAAUGUUAAUCCUAUAAAUUAUUUUUGUUAAAUCUAGCAAGAAUAACUAACAUUUCUUUAAGAUAUAUUUUGGCGGUAAAUUAAAAAAAAUUAAUUAUUUGGCAGGAAUUAUUGAAAUUGGAGCCAUUUUUUUGUGGGAAUUGAAAUAUAUUCUUUAAAUUAUUAUAUAAAAAGCAAAAUGUACAUACACACACAUAUAUAUAAUUUAUAUAUAAAAAUUCUCUAAUUUGUUCACAAGUAUCAUAGAUUAUAAUUCAGUUAUGAAAUAAAAUAACUACAAUAAUUAUAGUUAAAUGAAUACUUCAUUAAUUCUUAAUUUGCUUCCUAACAUUAAAUGAACAACUUGAGCCAACCACCUGAAUCAACCAGUAACAACGCCUGAGUCAACCAUCUGAAAAAACCAGCAACCCUAGCUGAUUCAAGCACCUGCAAUUAACAUCAACACAUCAGGAACAAUCGUAAAUCAGCACCAAGAACAGACCAAACUGCCAUCAAAUGCCACAAAACCAAACAGUCUGCUACUGCCAUCAAAUGCAAGCAAACAUAUGCAACAAAACCAGAUGCAAGUGAAAAUCUGGAGAAUAUCGGAUAAACCAAACCAAAUGCCACACUUCUAGUAAUUAGACUAGAUGCAGUGUUCAAUUAAACUAAAUGUAGUCUCAUAUUACAUUCAAAGGUGAAAACACUGUAAAAAAAAAUACAGCCAAAACAAUUGUUUACUUUUAAGUUCUAACAAAGCGUAACAGUCCAAAACCAAAACAUCUUAACUACCAAGCAAACAUCUAACAUAAUUAUUAAAAUUAAAAAGGAAAAAACAUAGGAAUCUCAGUUCUUAUACAUUUUGUAUGCAUUUAGUAAGCACACGCACAUAGACCAUCUAUGCAUAACCUUCUUCUAGCCCACCUGCAGAUGUCACAGAGAAGAGACAUUUUUUGCAGCUUGAAGUGCUCCAAUUGCUUUGUGAAGGUCCAAUUGUAAGCCUAAAUAUUGAAUCCAUGAGUCCAUAUAAUUGAAGGCUGGUGGCGACUUUUGAGUACAAAUCAAGAGAGAGUGAAGUGUGAAUUUCUGCAUGGCCCAUAACUUCAUCCACGUAGCUAUUCACUUCUUUGCAGUGAAAAGUUCCUUAAUCCUGGCACUAAUGUUGGGCAUCAUUUUGAUUUUUCAAGCCCUUUUAGAACACUUAUUGAUUUAGGAAAUUAAGGGAGCCAUUGAAAGGUGACUAAAACGGAGUGAGUUAGGGGUCCUACCUCUCUGUAGGGCUCUCGAAUCGCGGGAAAUGAGCUCCAUUGUGACCUUCAUUUCCUCCUUUUCGGAAAAAUUAGUUCAUGGCGCUUACGAUGUGAGCAAUUACUCUUUCUGGUGUCCUGAUGGUUGAUAACAGAGACUUUCAGCCUCGCUGCCUCAGGUAAGCUUGAUGGGAGGACCAGAUGUCAUACAAAAAAUAAAAGCUUUCUUUUCUCGGUAAAAGCAUGCGCAUUUUUCUGUAAGUGGGGAAGAGGCCGCGCCGUCAACACUGCAUCGGUGAAGAUGGGUGGUGGUUGUUGGUGGAGAAACGGAGGGAGGUGGCGAUUCUGAGACUUGUUGCGAUUUAGGGUUGGCCGGUUGGGUUUGGGGGAAAUUGGGUAAAGCAAAAUGCAUUUUUGUUGUUAUAUAUAUAUAUAUAUAGAUAUAUAUAUAGUAGUUGGAUUAGCUAAAAGACAAAAAAAUUUAAAUUUUACUACACUACAUGAUAAAAUACAGUGCAUUGGAGUAUGUGUUUAUUUUGUCUUUUAACUAAUCCCUGAUUGGAAAACUACUAUAUAUAUAUAUAUAUAUAUUUUUUUUUUACUUAAUAAAAAAGUGGGCACGGGUCCGGGUUCCGGAUUCUUGGUGCUGUGACCGGACCCGUGCCCGGAUCCGCUUUUUCCAUGCAUCCGAUCCGGGUUUUACCCGGACCGUAUGCACCAGGUCCAGUCCGGAUCCGGUCUGAGCGGGCUUUUCUGCCAUCUCUACAGUGGAGAGAGGGAUUAAUUCAACGCUUAGCCAAAAUUUGGCUGCGAGUGUUAAUGGGUUUUAAGUUAUACAAAACGGUGUCGUUAAUUUAAACGGCAUUGUUUUACAAUCUUAUAAGUUCACAAAACUUAAGCAUGACUUAUAUGUAUAAUUUAUUUACGAUGGUUAAGUUAUAAGUCAUGAAUAUGUCAUAUACUCUGGACAUGAAUAUAUAUCACGAAUCUAUCAUAUUUUCAUGACACAUUCGUGACAUAACGAUAUAUGUUAUAAAAUUUCUGUCAUUAUUUAGUAUUUUUCUAGUAAUGUCAGGUCUUUAAAACCUUUCUAUUAAUAACAAAAACUCUAAUCCUUUAGCAAAAGACUAAAAAUUUUAAAAAAAUCUGUUUAAAUAUCAGUUGGCUCAUAAUCAACACUUCAAUAUUGUUUGUUGUAUUUUCUUUCUUUCUUUUUUUGUCAUUUUAUUAGAUUUGCUUUGUAUCAUGGUUUGUUUUGCUUAAGUAAUUGUUCAUUAUUUACGUCUGUGUUCUUACUAGCUUUUGAUAAUUUAUGGUUGGUUUUUUAUUCAGACCCUCGAAGUACCUUUUUGUUAAUAGCAAAACCUCUGAUCCUCAAGAAAGAAAAAGAAAUUCUCUAUUUAAUUAUUAGUUAGUUCAAGAUCAAUAUCGCAAUAUUGUUUGCAGUCUUUUCAUUCUCUGUCUUUCCCACUAGUUCAUUUUAAUUUAUCUGUAUUCCUUUCUUUGACACUUGUAUUUAUUUAUAUAGAUUGUUAAGCAACAGGCAAUGGCUGCAGAAGGGUGUCUCCCUACUUUUUCUAGCAUUGUAUCACAAGGUUCAAAAGCAUUAUUCAAACCGAUUAUGUGGCACAUAUCUUAUGUGUUCCGAGUACCAGAGCUACAUAGAUGGGCUAAAAGAUUGAGUGAAGGAGCUGGAAUAUAUAAGAGAAAGGGUGCAAAUGCUGGUUAGAGAGGCUACUCUACAAGGAGAUGAGAUUUAUAAGGGUGUCAGAGACUGGCUAAAUAGAGUUGCUGAAUUCAGUGAAGGGGUUGCAAAAUCAAUCAUUGAUGAUAAAGAUAGAGCUAAGAUGUUCUGCUUCAAAAGGUUGUGCCCAAAUUUGAUUUCUUGUUACAAGCUUGGUAAACAAGCAGCAGAGGCCGCAAACGAAGCUGAUAAACUUGUGAAGAAAGGCGAAUUUAACAUUUGUAAUCAUGUUUCCUACCGUCCUGCUCCAGAGAGUACAGAAUAUGUGCAAGUGAAAGAUUACGUAGCCUUUUAUUAUAAUAUCUUUUCACUCUAUUAACUUAAAAAAGAUUGACUUCAAUAUUAAAAAUGUAACAGUAUAUACAUUUUAUAAUAAUUUCAAUAUUUAAAAAAUAUUUGAAUACUUUACAAUCUUAUAUUAUAUUAAACUACAUUUUAUAAUAAAUAGAAACAUAAUAUUAAAAUAAAUAUAUAAAAUUUUAAGUUAGGCUUAAUAUUAUUUAAAAUAAUUUAAAUAUCAUUAAUACAUGAGAUAUAUUAUAUUAAUUAUAAAUUCUAUUUAAUCUAAAUAUAUAUUUAAAGUUUUAUACUAAAAAUAGAUAUAUUAUUAAAAUAAAUAUAACAACUAACAUUUUAAAGAUUAAUACUGAAAUUAAAAUUAUAAAUUAUAUUAAUCUACUAAAAAGAUUCAUCUAUUUGACACUAGCAGCGGACAAUGAGGUCACGGCAUAGGACAAGCAGUUAUCGUGACCCAUGGACUUUUCUACUUCUUUUGAAAAAAAAAAAAAUAUCAAAGUCAUUGAAGUGCGUUUGAUGAUAUGCUGUGUAGCUUCUCUCUCAAAUGCUUUUCGAGUGCCUCCAGUAUCUGCUUUUAUAUAAGCUUUUGUCUUUAAUCAUUCAUUCAAGCUUUCGCUAAGAGUGAUGCAGCACAGCACGUAAAUAUAGAAGCAUUGACAGCCGUAGUCAGGAGCUCUUCGGUAUUUGAAGCAAGAAUGGUUGUUUGGCUUUGUGCAUUGAAAGAGAAAAGAAAAAAGAAAGACUAAUUUCAAUAAUACAAUUUAAUUAAUUAAUUUAAAAUAAUAAGCAAAUAAUAAUGAUGAAAUUAAUUAAUAAAAAGAAGAAAAUGAAAAUUGCACGUGCUACUAGCAUAAACCAAUUGCCGGAAUGAGGUCACUUUGUAGACAAAUGAUUCUGGAAUCAGAACUUGGGCCAGCUUUGGGUUAUGGAUCCAAAAUAAAAAUAAGGUGGGCCACAUGGUCUCUUAUGAUCAAUAAAAAUCGAUUGAAAAGGAUGGUAUAGUGAGUGGAAGAGAAAUGCCGAUGGCAGAUCAAGGGAUGAAGAUACGAGCUCACUUGCAACGUGGUAUAGUUCAUCAUGGCUGGCUUUCCUAUAAGUUCAGGUCCUUUGAAUACUUUCAAUGACCUUAUUAGUCAGGAAUUUAACAAUAAUUUUUAUUUUUUACAUCCAGGAACGGUUUUAAGCAUAGGCAAAUUAGGCCUAUAAUAGCAAAUCCUCUUUUUUAACAAUUAAACAAUUAGGAAGUCUCCCUUUUUUAUUUUUGGUAUUACUUAUAAUAGCAAAUCUUCUUUUUUAGGCCUCUUUUUAGUUAGUAAUUAUCUUAUAAUUAAGAAUUUUUAUACACAUUCUAUCUUUGAUAACCUUAAUAUUAAAGAUCUCUAAUUAAUAGUAUUAUCUAAUUGUUAAUUUAUUAUUAGUUUUUCCAAGAAAAAAAUUAAAAUCUUUAUCUAUUUAAUACUUCAGUUUUUUUUUCGUCAGUGGCAGAUAAAAGAGUCGGUUUUUCCGUUACUAAGCUUUUUAUGGAUGAAUUUUUUUUUAUAAUUUCUUUGUUUUAUAGGUUCUCUGUGAAUGCCAUUAGAAAUGAGAUUGACUAAUUCAAACUUCCUUUUUCCCCUUAGCAUCCAAACGUGUGAGGCAAGGGCAACUAAUGAGUCCAUUGUGAUGAGAACCUUUGUCUAAGCAAAAGCAGAGGUCAAUUGCUAAUACCGUACUGUUAUUAGUUUCAGUGCUUAAAUUGCUCCAUAAGUUUGCAUUUUAAAGUCUCUGUCUUAAUUUCUGAGGUAUACUGCUAAUGAGACCUCCUGCCAAGUUCAAGUUUGUUGUGAUGGCUACUUUGUCAUAUAACUGACUGUGAGAGGCCAUCAAUCAGCUCUGUUUUGUAAUUUUGUACCUUUUUUUUUCAUAUAAUGAUCAAUCAAAUGUUAGCCCUUAGAUUGCAACCAAUAUUUACUGAUUGUCUUAUAUAGGAUAUAAACUAAAUUCAUAAGACAUUCCCUUAUUGAUAUUCAUUCCGACACGUCCUAGUCUUUUGCCUUGUAGAAAUGCUUGUGGUUGAAGAGCUUUACAGAGAAGCUGUCGUCAGUACUGCGCGGAAAUUGAUUAUAUUGAAUCAGAAAACUUGACCAGAUAAGGUCUGUGUGCAUGAGAAUACUUGAGGAAAGCUUCACAAUACUGAGGGCCGGAUCUGCACUCUUUCCUCUAUAUGUGUCUUCAAUAUCAAUGGCUCAAAUACAUGUGUUAUGGUCUUUUAAUAUAUAUAAAAUACCAUUAUCUCAUGCGUUAUGGUCUUAUCCUUGUAUUCUUAAAAACUACAUAAAAUACCGUUAUCUCUGCUUUUGUAGCUAUUGAAUUCGACUUUCACAACAUAAAUAUUUAUUAGCAACAACUUAAAAUCCAAACAAAUCUAACAUGCAAUGUAUCAAUUACAUAUUAUGAUUAAACAGAUUUUGAUUAUUUAUUAUUAAAAUAUAUUCUCAUUAAUAUCUUAAGGAUAGGUAAUACUCACAUAAUUUUUUUAAAAAUCAAACCCAAAUUAUAUGCAUUGUUAAUGUGUAUUAUUGUCUAAUAUUUGGAUUUUACUAAUUUACAACUGCUAUAAUGUACGGCCUCUUCAAACAUAAUGUGGGUCCCACCACGUGUUAAAUUUUUUACAUUAUUUUUGAAGGAAUUGUAAGUUACAGCAGCUGUAAAUUAGCAGCACCUCCAAUAUUUUACUUUACUUCCCCUAAUAUUUUACUUGUACUUUUAUAUCUUUACAAAACAAUACCAACAAGACAAUAAUGUAUGAAAUAAAUAAAAUAAAUAAAUAAAGAACUGACAACGAAAUUAGGCCUAUCAUUAAUUUCUCUUGGUGUGAACUCUUGACAAUUCUCCCAUAUCCCACCUAAAGCUCUCGCAUGGUGUGAACGCUUGACGAUUCUCCCAUAUCCCUCCAAAAAUUUGUCAUAUUGCGAAAAACAAUGUCAAUUCAAUAUCGUCUCCAUUAGUCAUAGUGGCAGAUAGGACUAGAAUUUGUUGAAACCCUUGGACUUAUUUUUCCUUUUGAAAAUAAUUUUGUAGAAUCUCAUAUCGUGAAUAACGGACAAUGAGACUCUUUUUUUUAACUAUAAUAUUUUUUUAAAAUUAUUAACUAAAAAAAUUAAUUUUAAUAUUUUAUAAUAAAUAUAAGUAGGAUAUUAAAAUAAAUAUAAUAAUAUAUACAUAUUAAAAUAAUUUCAAUACCAAAAAAUAUUUUAAUAGUUUACAAUCUCGUAUUCUAUUAAACCAAAUUAUAAUAAAUAGAGACAUAAUAUUAAAAUAAAUAUAUAAAAUUUUAAAUUAUUUUCAAUAUCAUAUAAAAUAACUUUAAUAUUAUUAAAACGUGAGAAAUAUUAUAUUAAUUAUAAAAACUAUUUAACCCAAGGAUUUGUUUAAAAUUUUUAUAAUAAAUAUAUUAAAUUACAUUUUAAAAAUUAAGUAUUUAAAUUAUACAUACUAGUCUACUAGAAAAUUUAAACUAUUUAAAUCAUAUUUACAUUUAGUAAAAAAUUUUGAAGUCAUUUUUUUUUUUGUGAAUACCAUAAGAGUGCUAUAGUCAAAAAGGGUAUUGGUGUUCUUUAUUAAAAGUUUGGGGUCUACAUGACUAUUUUCUAAAAUUUUAAGGGUGUCAUUUUAUUUUUGAAAAAAAUAAAAAUUUCAUUUAAACAGCUAAAAUGGUGAAUAGUACAAUGCUACAGUGGGCGUAAAUGGAAGGUAAAAAGCAAUCAGAUUUUGAUUAAACAUGCAAUGUAUGAAAUAUAUAUUAUAAUUAUACAGAUUUUGAUUAUUUAAUAUUAAAUUAUAUUCACAUUAAUAUCUUAAGGAUAGUUAAUACUCAAAUAAUUUUUCAAAAAAUCAAACCCAAAUUAUAUGCAUUGUUAAUGUGCGUUAUUGUCUAAUAUUUGGAUUUUGCUAUGUCACAACUACUGUAACUUAAAGCCUCUUCAAACAUAUGUCGAUCCCACCACGUGUUAAAUUUUUUACAUUAUUUUUUAAGGGAUUGUAAGUUACAACAGCUUAACUUAGCAGCACCCUAAUAGUUUAUUUUACUUUUAUAUCUUUACAAAACAAUGCCAACAAGACAACAAUGUAUGAAAUAAAUAAAAUAAAUAAACAAAGAUCUGACAGCAAAAUUAUGGCUAUCAUUGGUUUCUUGUGGUGUGAACUCUUGACAAUCCUCCCCAAUCCCAUCCAAAACUCCCGCGUAGUGUGAACAUUUGACGAUUCUCCCAUAUCCCUCCAAAAAUUUGUCAUAUUGCGAAAAGUAAUGUCAAUUGCAAUGUCGUUUUCAUUAGUCAUAGUGGCAAAUAGGACUAGAAUUUAUUGAAACCCCUCGACUUAUUUUUCCUUUUGAAAAUAAUUUUGUAGAACCUCAUAUCGUGAAUAAAAGACAAUAAGACUCUUUUUUUUAAUUAUAAUAUUUUUUAAAUUUAUUAACUAAAAAAAUUAAUUUUAAUAUUUUAUAAUAAAUAUAAGUAGGAUAUUAAAAUAAAUAUAAUAAUAUGUACAUAUUAAAAUAAUUUCAAUACCUAAAAAUAUUUUAAUAUUUUACAAUCUCGUAUUCUAUUAAACCAAAUUAUAAUAAAUAGAGACAUAAUAUUCAAAUAAAUAUAUAAAAUUUUUAAUUAUUUUCAAUAUCAUAUAAAAUAAUUUUAAUAUUAUUAAAACAUGAGAAAUAUUAUAUUAAUUAUAAAAUCCAUUUAACCCAAGGAUUUGUUUAAAAUUUUUAUAAUAAAUAUAUUAUUAAAAUAAAUAUAUUAAAUUACAUUUUAAAAAUUAAUUAUUUAAAUUAUACAUACUAGUCUACUAGAAAAUUUAAACUAUUUAAAUCAUAUAUACAUUUAGUAAAAAAUUUUGAAGUCAUUUUUUUUUUGUGGCUACCAUAAGAGUACUAUAGUCAAAAAGGGUAUUGGUGUUCUUUAUUAAAAUUUUGGGGUCUACAUGAUUAUUUUCUAAAAUUUUAAGGGUGUCAUUUUAUUUUUGGAAAAAAAAAUUCAUUUAAACAGCUAAAAUGGUAAAUAGUACAAUGCUACAAUGGCGUAAAUGGAAUGUAAAAAGCAAUCAAAAUGACCAACAGUCUAACGCCUCAUCAGGGACAUAAAGUCAAAGUUUGUUGCAUGUGGUCAGGGCCAUUUAGUCUGUGAGUGGGUCCUGCAUGUCAUUUUUGGGCAUUUCAUCUUCUUUAGCAUUGAAGAUUAAAUGUUGACGACAUUUUCAAAAUUUUGGAAGACCCAUUAUACUUUUGGAUGGCUGUCAUUACUUGAUAUUAUCAUUAUAUGAUGAAAUAAAAUUGGAUGUAACACUUGUUUCGCGUUGUGGGAACUUUUGACAAUUCCCCAUAUCUCCUAAAAAUCUUUCGCCAUUUUGGGAAGAUGCCAUUUAUUUUCAUUUUCAUCAUUGAUAUUGGCAGAUAAUGGGGUCCGAGGACAGACCAUAAAUUAUUGCGACCCAUGGACUUUUCUAAUUUUUUUUUUUCCUUUGGAUAGUUUUCGUUAUUUGAUAGAAGGAGAUAGAGAUAAAGUUUUUUAAUCAAAUGCCCAUUUUAUUUAACAUGGAAGAAGAUCUUUAAACUCUAAGCGAGGCUAUCACUUCAACAGAUGCAGCUUCAAAAAAGAGGUAACAAGUGAUGAGAUAGACUCAUUAUUGUCUAAUCAAACAAGGACAUCGGUAGAUGUAUCAGGAUCUUAAGUUAGAUUGGAAUUUGAUACAUUGUUGUUCGUAACGUUGGUUCAAACCUUUAAAGCAAGGUUGGAUGCAAAAUGGUUUACACCAAAGACGUGAUUUAGGAAGUUAAUUAACGUUAUUUUAGAUAAUUUAUAAUUCUAAAAUAUUUAUUAUUUUAUGGUUUUCUAUUUUUGUUUGAGUCAAUUAUGGUAUGUAUCUUAAUCUUUUAUUUCCAUUAUAAUUAUAAUUUAAAUUUUCUUUUUAGGUUAACUUAGGAAAGUGGAUUUCUUUUAUUAUAAAUAAAGAUGUCUGUAAUAAAAAAAAUAAAGAUGUCUUGUCAUUGUUUUCAGGACUUCAAAUUCAAUUAUUAAAUAAAACUCUUUUUUUUAUAAUUUCCUCUAGUAUUAUUUAUCAAAAUCUCUCUUAUAGAGUUAUUUAAAUUAGAGUGUCAUCUAAUCUCGUAUUACGCGUUAUUAAAAAUCUCAUUGAAUCAUUUAGAUUAAAACAAUAUCUAAUCACGCUUUGAUUAAAGCGUAAGUUAAUUGUGUUGGCUUGAUCCAGUACUAGAAUGAUAUUUAGUAUUUCUUACCUUAUCAAUUCCACUUCCGCUACGCUCGCUCCAUCAAUUGGUAUCAAAGCAAUUCUGUGCGAAUCACACAUCUUUCCUAGAUACACCAUACCCAUCCAAACCAAAUCCAUCAAAAAAAAAAAUUACAAAUUUGAAAACCCUACCCGUCAGACCAACCCCCACCGCCGCCCACCACCGCCAAUCAGCCAGCCAACACCACCACAAACCUCACUAGCCACCGUCGACCAAGCCUCAGUCAUCGCUGCCUCAACCGCCGCUUGAACAGCCGCAAAUCACCAACCCAAACCUGCGGCUCCACCAAGCAACCCACCACCAUUCAGCCACUUUCUCCACCAGCCACCUCCACCAACAAACUCGCCGGCCUUCGUUGACCAAAAACUGACCGACUUCGGCCCUUGAUCGCCGCCCUCUGUCACCACACGAAACGACAACCCACGAGUGCUUCCUACACGCGCCGCCACCAAAACACCUUCUUUUUCCGUCAAUUUACACCACCACCAUAAUCCCUAGCAGUCGGCAACCGUAAAUCCAGUCUUCCGCCACUGUAAAGCCGCCAUAAACCAAAAGCCACAUCACCAAAAUCAACCGCCAAUUCAAGUCGGAUUUUCCCCAAUUCAGGUUGCUGAAUAUAAAAAGGACUCAUGAAAAUUACCUAAAGUUUCAAAUAUUGUUAUUCAGCAACCACUUUUAUGGUACAUUAGUUUCAACCCAAAUUUUAUAUAAAUAAUUUAUAACUCCCAUUAUUAUUAUAAAAAAAAAUUGUAGCAAUUGUGGUUAUAUCACAUGAAAAAAAAAAUCUAAUUAAAGAAAUUAACAUUAUAAUUUAAGGGAUAGUUGCUCUUUUAAUCAUUAGAAUUUAUGUCAAUUAUCCAGCUUAUCCUUGCAUUCUUAAAAACUAUAUACAAUACCAUUAUCUCUGCUUUUGUAGCUAUUGAAUUUGACUUUGACAACAUAAAUAUUUAUUAGCAACAACUUAAAAUUCAAACAAAUCUAAUAUGUAAUGUAUGAAAUACAAAUAAUAAUUAAACAAAUUUUGAUUAUUUAAUAUUAAGAUAUAAUCACAUUAAUAUCAUAAGGAUAGGUGGUACUCAAAUAAUCUUUUAAAAAUCAAACCCAAAUUAUAUGCAUUAUUAAUAUGCAUUAUUGUAUAAUAUUUAGAUUUUGUUAAGUUACAACUACUAUAACUUAAGUCUCUUAAAAAAUAUGUGAGUCCCACCACCUAUUAAAUUUUUUACAUUAUUUUUGAAAAAAUUACAAGUUACAUCAGUUGUAACUUAACAGCACCCCUAGUAUUUUACUUUACUUUUAUACCUUUACAAGAACAAUAAUGUAUGAAAUAAAAAAAAUAAAUAAAUAAAGAACUGACAACGAAAUUAGACCUAUCAUUAGUUUCUUGUGGUGUGAACUCUUGACAAUCCUCCCCUAUCCCACCUAAAGCUCUCGCGUGGUGUGAAUGUUUGACAAUUCUCCCAUAUCCCUCCAUAAUAUGUCAUAUUGCGAAAAGCAAUGUCAAUUGCAAUGCCGUUUCCCAUUAGUCAUAGUGAUAGAUAGGACCAGAAUUUUUUGAAACCCCCGAGGCCCUAAACUUGUUUUUCCUUUUGAAAAUAAGAAAAUGGCACCUGUCUAGAGAAAUAAUUUAUUAGAACCUUAUAUCAUGAAUAACGGCCAAUAAGACUUUUUUUAAAUUAUAAUAUUUUUAAAUUUAUUAACUAAAAAAAUUAACUCUAAUAAUUUAUGAUAAAUAUAAAUAGGAUAUUAAAAUAAAUAUAAUAAUAUAUAGAUAUUAAAAUAAUUUCAAUAUCUAAAAUAUUAAUAUUUUACAAUCUCGUAUUCUAUUAAACCAAAUUAUAAUAAAUAGAGACAUAAUAUUCAAAUAAAUAUAUAAAAAUUUAGGUUAUUUUCAAUGUCAUAUAAAAUAGUUUUAAUAUUAUUAAUACCUGAGAAAUAUUAUAUUAAUUGUAAAAUCUAUUUAACCUAAGGAUUUAGUUAAAAUUUUAAAAUAAUUACAAAUAUUUUAUAAGUACAAAUAAAUUAAUUUACAUUUUAAAAAUUAAUAUUGAAAUUAAUUAUUUAAAUUAUAUAUAUUAGUCUUCUGGAAAAUUUAAAUUAUUUAAAUCAUAUUUACAUUUCGUAAAAAAUUUUAAGUCAAUUUGUUUGAUUACCACCUGCUAAGGGUAUUGUAGUCAAGGGGAAUAUUGGUAUUCUUUAUUAAAAAUUUGGGAUCUACAUGAUUAUUUUUCUAAAUUUUAAUGGUGUCAUUUUAUUUUUGACAAAAAUAAAAUUUCAUUUAAACAACUAAAAUGAUGAAUAAUACAGUGCUACAGUGGCGCAAGUGGAAGGUAGGAAACAAUCAAAAUGAACAGUCUAACGUCACAGCAGGCAUAUAAGGCCAAAGUUUGUUACAUCCCAAUACAAAAAGUUUGAAACUUUGCACCUUCUGAAAUGAAACAAACUUACUUGGAUAUUGGUGAUCAGUGAGAAAAGCCCUUUUUCAAAAGCAACCUUAGGGUACCGAGUGUUACAGAUUCAAUGAACCACAAAUACUUAUUUACAUUGUAGUAUCUCAAAGGCACCGAUUUCUUCUGAUCCGUUAAGGAAAACAAGAAAAAUAAAAAGAAAAGAAAAAGGGUACUUGUGCCACACAACCUUGACGCCUAGCUACAUGGUACAUUCUCUUUGUGUGUUUGAACCAAUUAACAAUAAUGGUGCCUUUACUUCUUGGACUGGAGAAUCGAAAUCCGAAAUCGAAAUCAUUAAUGAUGUUUACUUCAUAAAAUGGAGGCUGGGAUCCGAAUCAGAACUAUGGGGACCACCCAAAUUAGGAGUGAGGAAUGGAAGAUUGAUUCCUAAGGAAGGUGGUGGGAAUCAAUCCCCCAUUCCCAAGAUUGAUCAUUUUGCCCCCUCUCACAAACUAUAAAAUAUCUAUUUUGUCCUCAAUUAAAAAAUUAUUAUGAUUAAUUAAUAUAUGUUUAUAAUUUAUUAAUAUAACUAUUCUAAUCAAUUUAUAUAUAUUUUAAAUAUAUUAUUAUUAAAUAAUUAAUAUAUUAUUAUAAUUAAUUAAUAUAUUUUGAAUUUUUAUUAUUAUCGUCAUCAUCAUCAUUAUUAUUGUUAUGAAUGAUAAAUUUUUUUACAAUUAAUUAGUAUAUUAAUAUAUUAUUGACAAUAAUUAAUAAUAAUAAUAAUUUUUGAAUAAAUAAAUAAAUAAAAUUAAUUACUGAAUUUGAACAUUUUACAAUUAUUCUAUUAUUUGGACUUAUCGAGAACUUACAUGCAGCGUAGCUAGUUUGCUAGCAUAUGUAAGGUUUAAUUUGAAUGCAUGCAGCAUUGAGAAGAGACAACGCAGAAACAAAAUUUCCGCUUGCAAUCUUUUCAUUUCCCUUUUUAAUAACAAGCAAAAUAGAGGAUAAACAGGGACUUUGUUUUAAUUCUCCUGUUUUUCUGUUUGGUGAUUUUAAAAUUUUAUGUCUAUAUUUAUCAAAAAAAGUUAUCCAAAAUUAUUAUCUAUUUUUGAUACACGUUGAUUUAUUAAAAAAAAAUUAAAAACUUCAUUUCUAAAUUUAUCGUUGUGCUUUGACCUUGGGGUGGUUUUUUUCUGUUUUUUUACGUAGGCCAGAACCUUAAUGAAGAAAGUUUUCAUCGUUAAUUGCUUUUGACCUAGGAGAAUUUAUUCUUGGACAAAUUAACACCUUUGUCUUUUGAUGCGGCUCCUAGAUAUCUAUGCAAUUUGUGUCAUUUACUUUUGCUUUGUAUUCUUUUUUAAAUGAGUCCCGAUUGGUUCAUUUGCAGAUAAAUGAGUCAGUUUUUCUGUUUUUAUUUUUUGAAAGACGGUUUUUCUGUUACGAAGCUUUUCAUGGAUGAAUAUUUUUUUUUUAAUUUUAUAGAUUCUCUGCGAGUUUUGUUAGGUAGAAGGGUAUUUAAGUAUUUUCAUUUCAUAUUUUGACAUUUCCUUGACCUUUGAAGUAUUGAAUCAUUGUGCAGGUAUUUAAGUAAAUCUGCCCACAAUGAAGAAUAGUUCAGAACAGUUGCGGAAGAUAAAUGGCUCAAAUAUAUGCGUUAUGAUCUUUUAAUAUUUCGCCUCUGAUAUUGUCCACAUUGCUUACUGCAAUAGAUAAAGCACUUCGUUUACCCCAAAUCCUGAUAGGGAAGUAUAAAUAUGUGCUUCCGAAAUAGUGCAACUCUCCAUAAUUAUUUAAUAUGCCUCUCAAUGAAGCAAUCACCUUCAUUUACAAUUCUUCGAUUAUUAAUCCUACAUACACGUGUUUCUUUUGUCUCUAAAAGUAUCCUCAAUUAAUUUACAUAAUUUAAUAUAAUAAGUACCUAAGACUAGACAAAUUAUCAUUAUAAUAGUAUUGACACAAUAAUGUCAAUAAUAAAUGCCUUAACAAACCUAUAAAUUUUAGAAUAUGGCUCAGAGUGCUACAAUGAACCACAACAAGUUAUUAUAUUGUCUAUAAUCAAUAUUCCAAUGGUAAUAGAGUUUUUUUAUUUUCAAUCCGCUGCUUUUCUGUUUAGCGAUUGCCAAAUUUUAUAUCUAAAAUUCUUCUAAUUUUAUAUCUAAAAUUCUUCUAAUUUUACACUAAGGUUUAUUUUUUCAAAAAAGGGGGGGGGGGGGGGGGGGGGGGGGGGCAGGAGAGAGAGACUUAGAGAGUAUUAAAAAAUGUAAUUCUAAAUUUUUACUUGAGUGUUGUGUGAUUUUGAUCAUUUUUUUAAAGUUGGCCAUUUAUAUUGAAUAAAUAAAAUAACGAAUAGACGUUUGGACCACUUCUUUUCUGUUAUAAUAAAACAUGAGAUGUCUUCUCUUGAUGUUUUCGUCACAAAAGAAUAUGUUUAAUUAUGUCAUCAUAGGCUUAAAUGGGAUGCCUUUUCUGUUAUAAGAUCGAGAACAAGUUUGUUUAAGCACUAGAGCCGCUAAAUAAAAGAAAGGCUCAUAUAAAAAUUACCUAAAGCACCAAAUAUUGUUAUUCAGCUACUUCUUUUAUGUUACAUUAGUUUCUACGCAAAUUUAUAUAAAUAAUUUAUAACUCCCAUCAUUAUUUAAAAAAUAAAAACCAUAGCAAUUGUGGUUAUAUCAUGUGGUGUGAUCUUUUGACAAUCCUCCCACAUCCCACCAAAAACUCUCACAUGGCGUGAACUUUUGACAAUUCUUCCAUAUCCCACCAAAAAUUUGUCAUGUUGCGAAAGGCAAUGUCAAUUGUAUUGUCAUUUCCAUUAGUUAUAGUGGCAGACAAUGUAGUCCCGGGAUAAGACUAGAAGUUUUUGAAACCCAUGGACUUAUUCUUACUUUAUUUUUUCUUUUGAAAAUGAGAAAAGGACACCCGUUUCGGGAAAUAAUUUUGUAGAAUCUCAUAUCGUGAAUAAGAGAUAAUAAGACUUUUCUUUUUUACUUUACUGCAAUACUCUUUAAUUUUAUUAAUUUUAUAUUUUAUAAUAAAUAUAAAUAUGAUACUAAAAUAAAUGUAAUGAUAUAUACAUAUUAAAAUAAUUGGAUAUUGAAAAAUAUUUUAAUAUUUUACAAUCCCGUAUAAUAUUAAACCAUAUUAUAAUAAAUAGACAUAAUAUUAAUAUAUAUAUAAGUUUAAAUUAUUUUGAAUAUCAUAUAAAAUAAUUUUAAUAUUAUUAAUAAAUCAGAAGUAUUACAUUAAUUGUAAAAUCUAUUUAAUCCAAGGAUUUAUUUAAAAUUUUUAUAAUAAAUUAAAAAUAUAUUGGUUAACAUUUUAACAAUUAAUAAUGAAAUUAAUUAUUUAAGUUAUAUAUAUUAGUCUACUAGAAAAAUUUAAACUACUUCAAUCAGAUUUACAUUUAAUGAAAAAAUUUGAAGUUAAUUUUCUUUUUAUCAUCUACUACGAAUCUUGUAGUUAAAAGAGGUAUUGACAUUCUUUAUUAAAAAUUUGAGGUCUACAUAACUAUUUUUUUUUUUAUUUUAAGGGUGUCAUUUUAUUUUUGACAAAAAUAAAAUUUCAUUUAAAUGGCUAAAAUGGUGAAUAAUACAAUGUUACAGCUGGCGUAAAUGGAAGGUAGGAAACAAUCAAAAUGACCAACAGUCUAAUGCCACAGCAAGGACAUGAGGUCAAAAAAUUCCCUUAUUAAUUAGUAAAAGAGAGUCACUUGGGCUUAUGGCGGGCAAAAUCGGAUAUAGAUCAGAUUCAAAUUAAUCCGAUAAAUUUGAUAUUGUUUGCAUUGAUAAAAAAAGUCACCCAAAUGCAAUCUAAACAUGUGUGUGUGUGUAUACAUAUUUGUUAUAAAUUAAAGUUACAAAAGUCUUUAACCAAGGCCAUUCAUAGUAAGUUUCAAAUUUUUAGGUUAAUAUCUGUAACUUCAUCAUGCUGGCCAUAAAUAAAGCUUGCAGGUCUAGGCGGGAUUGACUCGAGUUUUUUUGCCAAUCCUACGCAUGACGGGCGGUGUUAGGAAUAAUAUCCUGCAUCAAUUGAGUAUUGAACUUGGGUUCAGCAUAUAAGAUUUGGACAACUCUUAACUCUUGAGCUAACUUACUAAGUUUUGGAUUGAGUUAAGCAUGUAUGCUUCAAUAUCACAAAUUAGUCUUUCGUUACCAUUACUUAUUUUUUCUAUUGUUUAAUCCUAACACAAUAAAUGACCUUUCAUCCCAAAAGAACUAAAGUAAUCAUUUUAGACGAAUUAAGACACCAUAAAGUAAAUCUGCACACUAUGAAAAAUACUUUGGAACAGUUAAGGAAGCGUGAGAAUACUUGGGGAAAGCUUCAUAAUUGUUACGGCCGGAUCUACACUCUUUCCUCUAUAUGCAAUAAAUAUAUGCGUUAAUGAUCUCUCAAUAUUUUGCAUCCGAUAUUGCCCACAUCGCUUACCACAAUAUAUUCACUUUAUAAACAAAGUUUACAACCCAAAUACUAAUAGAGAAUAUAAAUAUGUACUUGUCAAUGAAGCAAUCACCUUUAUUUAGAAAUUUUUUAUUAUUAAUCCUACGUACACACACCUCUUUUGUCUCCAAAAAUAUUCUUAAUUAAUCCACACAAUUUAAUACAAUAAAUACCUAAGAUUACACAAAUUUUCAUUACAAUAGAAUAUAUAAUUUAUAAUAUUAUUGAUACAAUGAUGCCAAUAAUAAAAAUCCUAUAAACCUUACAAAUUUUAGAAAAUGGCUUAGAGUGUGACAGGUUGAAUGAACCACAACAAAUCAUUUACAUUAUAGUAUCUAUGAUCAAUAUUCUAAUGAUAAUAGGGCUCCUCCAUUUUCAUUUCCCUACAUUUUCUGUUUGGUGAUUGUCAAAUUUUAUGUCUAAAAUUUUUCUAAUUUUACAGUGAGGUUUAUUUUUUAAAGAGAGAGAGAGAGAGACUCAAAGAGAAUUAAAAAAAAUGUAAUUCUAAAAUUUUACUUGUGCAUUUUGUGAUUUUUACCAUUUUUUAAGUUGGCAAUUUGUAUUGAAUAAAUAAAAUAAUAAAUAGACUUAUGGACCACUUUUUUCUGUUAUAAUAAAAAUCAGAGGUCCUUUCUUGAUGUUUUCUUUCCAUAUGAAUAAAUUAGAAUUUUAUUGGUACAGUAAUGUCAAUAAUAAAAUUCCUAACAAACAUACAAAUUUUAGAAUAUGGAUUAAAGUGUUACAAGUUGAGUGGAUCACAACAAGUUAUUUAUAUUGUAGUGUCUAUGAUCAGUAUUUCAAUGAUAUCAAGGGUCCUCUAUUUUCUUUCCCUUGCAAUUUUUGUUUGGUCAUCGCCAAAGUUUAUAUCUAAAAUUUUUCUAAUUUUACACUGACAUUUAUUUUUUUUUUAAAAAAAAGAGAAAGAGAGACACGGAGAGAACUAAAAAAUGUAAAUCUAAAUUUUUGCUUGUGCGUUAUGUGAUUUUUAUCAUUUUUUAAGUUGGCCAUUUGUAUUGAAUAAAAAAAGUAAUAAAUAGACUUAUGGACCACUUGUUUUUUUAUUAUAAUAAAACAUUUUCUUCUCCUGAUGUUUUUCAUCUCACAGGAAUAUAUUUAUCUCAUCGUGGGCCCAAAUGGGGUAAAUAAAUUGGGAUCAAGGACAAGUCUGUUUAAGUGUUGAAAUUGCAAGAAGACCUCAUAAAAAAAAUUGCCUAAAGCCCCAUUAUUGUUAUUCAACUAUUACUUUCAUGACACUUACACAAAUAAUUUAUAACUCCAUCUUUAUUUAGGGAAAAAACUGUAGCAAUUGUUGUUAUAUCACAGGAACAAAUUCCAAUUAAAAAUAUAAUAAGAAUUAAUUGCAAAUUUUGUAAUAAAUAUCAAUAUAAUUUAAUAGUUUAAUUUUUUUUGGUAGAGUAAUAUAAUUUAAAAAAUUAAUAUUUAAAAAAAUAAUAUCAGUAUUACUUUUUAAAAUGCAAAUUAUUAAAAUUAUAUUAAUAAUGUAUUUUUAUUUAUUAUAAAAUUUAUUUUAAUAAAAUCUUAAAUUUUUUUAAAUAUUUGUAUAUAUUGUUAUAUGUUAUUAUAAUAUUAUAUUUAUAUUUAUUAAAAUAUAAGAGUUAAUAUUUUUAAAUUAAUAAAGACAAAAAGUAUUAUAAUAAAAAAGAAUUCUUUUAUUAAAAAUAUAAUCAUUCUCCCAAACUUAUCCUUGUCCCUUUUUGAAAGGAAAAAAUAAAUUAGAAAAGUCUAUGGUCAUGAUAACUUCUAGCCUUGUCCCGUGGGACAUGGCUACGGUGCAGAAGCUGAAAGUAACAGCUUCGAACUUUCCCAUUUCCAUCACCUUGUUGAUGGUUGUUGAAGCCAAUAAAAAUAAAUUCCUACUCUAAAUAAAUUGUGUAUAGUGAUUGAGCAGGGUCGUGUCCACAGAGAUCGGUAAUUAUUUAAAUUCUUUUGAAACGUAAAACGUAAAAUGGGAGAAUUGUUGACAAUAAUAAAAAAUCAAAUUAAAAUAACAAAAAUGCAAAUUAAAGUUGUAAUUCAAAUUGGAGAAAGCUUUGGUUGAAGGAAUUAACUCAGUUUGAUUCGACUACUGAUCAUUGAUUCAAAAAUAGAUUAUUAUUACUUAUGAAUAAACUGGUUAUAGCUAUUGAGACCCUCUAAUAGCCAAUCUCUCCUUAACUAGUCGAUAACCAAGGUACGACUAUUGGAUAUUUCCCUAAUCAAUAGACAACCCUAGAUACGAUCAUAGGAUUUAAUCAAUUGACAGCCUGAAAAACCAGAGCGACCCAAAUCCUAAUCAACACAUAUGAUGAUUCAUUUAAAUUAGAUUGUUUAUUCCCAUAACACAACUCACUGCUAUGUUAUUUGUCACAAACAUUAAACUCGUCAUACGAUGAAUUCUUUAAUUGACAAUAGAUUAAGUUGAUAAUUAAAUAGUGGCCAAUUACCUAAUUAACAAACAUAAUCAUGAAACUAAUUCAGAGAAUAAACAAAUACCCAAAAAGUAAUAAAACAAUUAAAGCAUAAGAAAGAUCUCACAGUAGUGAUGAAUCAAAAAUUCAUUAACCUUCAACUAGAAAAAAUAAGUUUAGUUUUUCAUAGAGAGAAGAGAAAAAUUAGAUCUAGGGUUUCUUUCUUUUUCUCCAAUUAAAAUCCCCCCUUUUUCACAAUAGAUUCCUCCCUUAAAUACUCUCUCUCUCUUCUCUUUUAAAGUUCUAUUUAAAAUAAAAUAAUAAUAUUUGAAAUAUUAAAUUCGUAAUUACAAAAAUAGCCAAAAAUACAAAACACAUUAAACUAAAAACUGCAGGUCCGCAGUUGACAGCACGCGCCCACGCCUUAUCUAUAAAGUUCUUCUGACGCUCUAAAUUUCUCCAAGAGAACAAUCAUCUUUAAACAUCAUCUUAUACCUCAAUUCUAUCACAAAUCAAUAGAAUUGCACUUACAAAAGUAAAACACAAGUAAAUCAUUAUUAUUAAAUGCAAAACAUCGAUAUUAAGGGAAGUAAACAAUGCAAAACUAGUGUAUAAAUUGUACUCUAACACUUGUAUUGGGACCUCUUUCUCUCUCCUAUAGCCCCCAUGGAAGUUCCCCAUUGGCUGCUGUUACUUACAGAAGCCGUAACAUAGACUUCUAGCCAUGUCCCGUGAUGUCCAUUGUCUGCCACUAUGAAUAAUGGCAAUGACAUUGCAAUUGAAACAUUGAAAAGGUAUUUUCGCAAUAUGACAAAGCUUUUGUUAGGAUAUGGGAGGAUUGUCAAAAGUUCACACCACUUGAAACUAGAAUUAGAUCUAAUUUCAUUUAUUUCAUAAAUUAGAAAAGUCUAUGGUCGUGAUAACUUCUAGCCGUGUCCCGUGAUGUCCAUUGUCUGCCACUAUGAAUAAUGGAAAUGACAUUACUAUAAUAAAAUGACAUUGCAAUUCCAAUAUGCAAUUGAAAAGUCUAUGGUCGUGAUAACUUUUGUAAUAUGACAAAGUUUUUGUUGGGGUAUGAGAGGAUUGUCAAAAGUUCACACACCACAUGAAACUAGUGUUAGAUCUAAUUUUAUUUCGUCCGUUCCUUAUAUAUUUAUUUCAUACAUAUAUGUCUUAGGGUGAUAUUGUUUUGUAAAGAUAUAAUAGUAAGGUACUAUAAAAAGAAAAGAACUGUGUGUAUACUUCCCAGUGUAAUAAUUAUAUGUAGAAGAAAACUAACAAGAGGAAAAAUGACAAAGAGCAAGGCGCUGGUUGUUGGGAGAAGAGGACAUGUCGGCAGAGGAUAGAGAAGCCAAUCUUAGCCUUGUUGAUUGAGGGCUCAUCUUCUGAUCAUCGUAGCCUUGUUGGAGCUGUCAAACAAGUCGAUGUUGUCAUUUAAGGAGCCACAACAUUUUGAUGCUGCUUAAACUUGUUGGGGCCAUCAAAUAAGCUGUAAAUAUUAAGGUACGUAAGCCUUAAUUUUUAUGUAAUUUUAAUUUCAGAUCCAAAAUUGCAUGCAAGCCAUUAAUUUCUUUCCUUUUUUAUUUUUGAUUUGAUGAGGUGCUUGAUUUGGUCGGGUGUGUAUUUUUUCUUUGUUCUUUUUUUUUUUAAAACAUAAAUCUCCAAAUCGGGUUGGAGCGGGGAUUCUAACCCUACGAUGGCCAUAUUAAAAUUUAAAAUUUUUUAAUUUAUUUUUCUACAUCUCAAUAUUUGAAAAAAUGAUUAUAUAGAUCUAUAUAUUUUCAAUAAGAGAUACUAAGAUACUCUUUUUUACUAUAACACCUACUAGCUCUAUUAACUCAAAAAAUUAGCUUCAAUGUUAAUAUAUAUAUUUUAAAAUAAUUUUAAUAUUUUAAAAAAAAUGAAAAAAAUAUUUUAAUACUUUACAAGCUUAUACUAUAUUAAACUAAAUUUUGUAAUAAAUAGAAACUUAAUAUAAAAUAAAUGUCUAAAAAUUUAAAUUAUUUUCAAUAGCAUAUAGAAUAAUUAUAAUAUUAUUAAUACCUAAGAUAUAUUAAAUUAAUUAUAAAUUCUAUUUAACACAAAUAUUUAACUAAAUUUUUUAUAAUAAAUAUAAAUAUAUUAUUAAAAUAAAUCUAAUAAUUAACAUUUUAAAAAAUAAUACUGAAAUUAAUUUUUUAAAUUAUACUAACACUAGUUUCACGCUGUGCGAACUUUUGACAAAAACUGUUAAUUGCAAUUUCUUUUGAAAACAAUAGAUCAAAUCAUUAAAGUGCAUGUGAUGAUUUGCUGUUUAAUUAUUUCUUUAGAAUAUAUCCAAACGUAAGGUUGUGAACUAGUGCUUUCUUCAACUUAAUUGGGUCCAACAAUACACUGCAGCUUCCUCUUUUGGUCAUUCCAAGUUUAAUUCUUCAUGAAAAUCUUAGACACUAAUACAAGGAUAUCGAAUCCAAAAUUAUAAUAAUACAUGUAAUUAUUCUAUACAUGCGUCAACAAGGCAACAGUAACCAAAUACAUGAUAUGCAAAGGGGGUGCAUGAUUAAGUCCUUUUUUUAUUCAAUUCAUUGUUAUUAUUCUCAUCAACUCUUUUCUCACUUAUUUUUCAGCAGUUACCAGUGAUCUUUUUGCUCUUUAAAAUUAUUCUUAAAUAUUCAAGGCUAAAUAGAGAAGCUCAUCAACUAUCUGAUCCCGGAUAAUUAAAGAGGUGAACUUGUUCUAAAUCCUUUGAUAAUUUCUAUUAAUAGCAUAAUCUCCUUGAUCUUGACCGCAGUUAUUUCUUAAUGUCCAAGAAAAAAAUAUCUCCUGUUUGUCUUAAUCUUGUCAUUUAAUUUUCUUGAUUUAAGUUACUGUUCAUUGUUAACUUCUGUGUUCUUGUUAUUAGCAUUUGUUAAUUUGCAUCUCUCCUCUAAAAUAGUUUCUAAAAAAGAAUGUUGCUUUUCAUUCAUACCCUUGAAACCUUUCAGUUAAUAGUCAAAACUCUAAUCUUUCAGUUAAUUUAUUUGAAUCCAAUUUUUUCAACAGCAAAUACACACACACAUUGUUAAGCAACAGCCAAAAAAGUGCAGAAAAACCAGUCAAAUUUAUACAUGCGUCAACAGGGAAACAGUAACCAAAUAGGUGAUACAAAAAGGGGUGAAUGAUUCUGUCUUUUCCUUUUGCAAGUCGCUGUUAUUACUCUCAUCAACUUCUUUCUCGCACAUUUCUCAGCAGUUACCAGUAAUAUUUAAAAUCGCUGUGUAGAUAUGCAAAAGUUCCGUAAGUGCAUUAAUAAUUAUUUGCCAGAAAAAAAUAGUUGCGUCAAUAUUAAAGGAAUUGACAUCCAGGGGACCCAAUUUAGUUGCUUAAUGAUUAUUUAAUUAAUUAAUUUAUAAUAUAUUAAUCUUUUAAGUUGAAUAAUUAAAAUCUUAGACCCGAAACAAUAAAUCAUCUGAGGCAUAUAAAAGAGAAAUUAUCAUCCUAUUUUUUCUUUUUUCUUUUUAACUUCUUGUAGCUUAUAAAAGAGAAAUUAUCAGUCAUUUACUCAAAGUUUAUUCAAUUAUUAAAAUUAUUAUAAAAAUUUAAAUUUAUUUAAUUUUACAUCCAAUGUAUGCAAUUUGUAUGAAACAUCUGUUAAAAAUAUAAAGUUAUUCGUUCAAAGUGACAAAAUAGAACCGAACACAAAAUUGUAGUGGUGAUUAUGUUUUAGGAGUAACUUUAUUUUUUUAGUAAACAGUUGAUACACAUUGUAAUAAUGGGUAUAAAAUUAAAUAUUUUUAAAUUUUUAUAACUUUUUGGAUAAUAAGAUAAUUCUUAGAUGGAUAAUUGAAAAUUUUUCUUUUCAAAAUAUUUUGAAAACAAUACCAAAUGUACCAAAACAUUGUUUACUUUCACUCUCUCUCUCUCUCUCUCUCUCUCUCUAUCUAUCUAUCUAUAUAUAUAUAUAUAUAUAUAUAUAUAUAUAUAUAUUAUUUCUUAACUCAUUCUUAUCCUUAUUCUUUCUAACAUAUCCACAAUCUGUCAAUGAAAUUUACUUUUAUAAAUUUGAAGAUUUUUUCAUGCAAUUUUAUACGAUGAUGAGUUCUCAUGUUUCUGUUAAAAAAUAAUUCGUAAAUAAUACAAAUGAAAAAAACAAAAAGUAGCAGGGCUGGCAAUACAAAACCAUAACUUUUUUUCUUUGAAUUUUGCAUAAACAAAGUCAAUAGUGAUUUGUCAGCACGAUCUUGAGAGCACGGCUUGGAGUCUCAAUAAUUAUUGACACUCAUAUUUGAAAACUUUCGAAAAGAUAAAAUCCAAUAUGAAAGGUGAAACGUUAUAAUCAUAGUAACUAGAAAAUGGAUUGAUUUACAAAUAUCAAUUUAAACAAUUUUCAUGUUGAUCGACAAUUUAAGUAGAUUGACAAAGAUUGAAGUAAUUACUGUUGGUGAUUGAUUGACUUUGUCCUUAUCCUUGCCUUCUUCUUAUCAAAAAUCGAGUGUCAAUUAAAUUGGGCCAGGGUUUCUGAUUGCAACUAAUGGACUUCAUAUACGCAUAAUGGUCCCUACGUACAUACGUACCAAUAUUUGAUUGAUAAAGGGGGUGCAUGCUUAAUGCUCAAGUCGUCUUCUUUUGGAAAUUCAUUGUUAUUACUCUCAUCAACUCGUUCCUCACAUUCCUCUUUAGUCAAAACCUGUAAUAUUUCUUCUAUAUUCAAGGUGAAUACAGCAGCUCAUCGACUCUGAUCCCAGACAGGUAAAGAGGUGCACUUGUUCUAAAACCUGUAAUAUUCUUUUAGUAGCAGAAUCUCUGAUACUUGAUCUUCAUAGCGGUUCUUUCUUAAUUUCCAUCAACUUUCCUAGGAAAAAAUUCUCUGGUUUUUCUUAAUCAUAUCAUUUACUUUUCUUAAGUCAUAUCAUUUAUUUUUAGUAGCAGAAUACUUGAUCUUGAUAGCCAUUCUUUCUUAAUUUCCAUCAACUUUCCUUAAAGGAUACCUUUCUGUUAAUAGCGAAACCUCUGAUCCUUAAGAUAGAAAAAGAAAUUCUCUACUUAUGUAUCAGUUGGUUCAAAAUCAAUAUCGCGAUGUUGUUUGCGGUCUUUUCUUUCUCUGUCUUUCCCUCUAGUUCAUUUUAAUUUAUUUGUAUUCCUUUCUUUGACAUUUUUAUUCAUUUUAUUCAUAUAUAUACAUAUAUUGUUAAGCAACAGGCAAUGGUUGCAGAAGUGGGUCUGGCUGCUUUUUCCAGCAUCGUAUCAGAAGAUGCAAAGUCACUGUUCAAACCGAUUAUACGGCAGAUCUCUUAUGUGUUCAAGUACCAGAGCUACAUAGAUGGCCUAAAAGAUCAAGUGAAACAGUUGGGAUAUAAAAGAGAAAGGGUGGAAAUACCCGUUCAUCAGGCUACUCAACAAGGAGAUGAGAUUUAUAAGGAUGUUGCAGACUGGCUUAAUAGCGUCAAGGAAUUCACUCAGGGAGCUGCGAAAUCCAUCACUGAUGAUGAAGAUAGAGCUAAGAAGUUCUGUUUCAAAGGAUUGUGCCCAAACUUGAUUUCUCGUUACAAGCUCAGUAGACAAGCAGCAAAGGCCGCAGAAGCUGCUGCUAGUCUCAUGGGAAAAUGUAACUUCUCUAAUGUUUCCUACCGUCCUGCUCCAAAGCGGGCAGAACAUAUGCAAGUGAAAGAUUUCGAGGCCUUUGAUUCAAGAAUGAAAGUAUUUGAAGAUGUUGUGGAGGCGUUGAAGGAUGAUAAGCUCAAGAUAAUUGGGGUCUACGGGAUGGGCGGCGUGGGUAAAACCACGCUAGUCAAGCAAGUUGCAAGGCAAGUUAUGGAAGAUAAGGUGUUCGACAAGGUCGUUAUGGCUGAGGUAACACAGACCCCAGAUCAUCAGGAAAUUCAAAAGAAACUUGCUUUUGACUUAGGCAUGAAAUUUGGCUCGGAUGAGAAUAAAUUCGAAAGAGCAGAUCGAUUACGUGAAAGAUUGAAGAACGAGAAGCAGGUCCUCGUUAUAUUGGAUAAUAUUUGGAAAAAACUCGAGUUCGAAAAAGUUGGAAUUCCUUGUGGGGAUGUUGAUGAGAAAGAUACAAAGGAUGAUCAGAGACGAUGCACAAUAAUAUUGACGUCUAGAAGUCGAGAUUUAUUGCGCAUUGAUAUGAAUUCUCAGAAAAAUUUCCCGAUCGAUGCUUUGCCACCAAAAGAAGCAUUGCAGUUAUUUGAAAAGAUAGUGGGUGAUUCAACUAAAAUAUCUGCUUUUCAAAGUAUAGCAAAUGAGAUCGUUGAAAGAUGCGGAGGUUUGCCUGUUGCACUGAGUACAGUUGCAAAUGCUCUGAAAACUAAGGAUAGUUACUUUUGGAAAGAUGCAUUGAAUCAGCUAAGAAGAUCGGAUGCUAGAGAAAUUCAUGGCAUGCAAGCAAAUGUGUACACCUCCAUAAAAUUGAGUUAUGACUUCUUGGAAAGUGAGGAGGCAAAAUCUCUGUUCCGUCUUUGUAGUCUAUACAGUGAAGGUAAUGUCAUACAAGUUUCUGACUUAUUGAGAUGUGGUGUGGGUUGGGGUUUGUUUGAAAAUGUUUACACAUUGGAAGAAGCAAGGAGUAGAGUGCAUCGGUUGAUCGACAACCUCAAAUCUUCAUGCUUAUUGUUGGACGGUGAUGCUGAAGAUGAAGUUAAAAUGCAUGACGUCAUUCAUGUUGUUGCCGUAUCAAUUGCCAGAGAGGAGCGCAUGUUUAAUGUUCCAAAUGUUGCUGACUUGGAGAAAAAGAUGGAAGAGACAAUACAGAAAGAUCCAAUUGCUAUUUCAUUACCUCAUAGAGAUAUUCAAGAGCUCCCUGAAAGGUUGCAAUGUCCCAAUCUCCAGUUAUUUUUGUUGUAUACGGAGGGUAAUGGCCCUAUGCAAGUUUCAGACCACUUUUUUGAAGGGAUGGAAGGACUCAAAGUUUUACAGUUUCCUGGAAUUGGCUCUUCUUCAUUACCUUCAUCACUUGGUCGCCUCAUUAACCUUCAAACAUUGUGUUUAGACUGGUGCGAACUAGCAGAUAUAGCGGCAAUUGGACAACUAAAGAAAUUAGAGAUUCUCAGCCUCGCAUAUUCCAAUAUCAACCAGCUACCAGUUGAAAUUGGACAAUUGACGCGGUUACAAUUGCUAGAUUUGAGCAAUUGUUGGUGGCUUGAGGUGAUAGCACCGAAUGUCAUAUCAAAAUUAUCUCAAUUAGAAGAAUUGUAUAUGGGUAACGGUUUUUCAGGGUGGGAGAAGGUUGAAGGAGGAAGUAAUGCCAGUCUUGUCGAAUUGGAGAGGUUGACAGAGCUAACUACUUUGGAGAUAGAAGUUCCGGAUGCCGAAAUUCUGCCGCCGGAUUUUGUCUCUGUGGAAUUGCAAAGAUAUAAGAUACGUAUAGGAGAUGGGCCCGAAGAUGAGUUUGACCCAUUGCUCGUCAAAUCUGAAGCAUCAAGAUUGAUGAUGCUCAAGGGGAUAAAAAAAGUUAGCAUUCUUCAGGAGAAUGAUGGGACAAAAAUGUUGCUGCAGAGAACUGAAGAUCUCUGGCUAGAAACAUUGGAGGGUGUUCAAAGUGUUGUUCAUGAAUUAGACGAUGGGGAAGGUUUUCCACGAUUGAAGCGUCUUCUCGUAACAGACUGUUCUGAGAUUUUACAUAUUGUCGGUUCAGUUAGGGUUCGUUGCGAAGUCUUUCCCUUGCUGGAGGCAUUGUCUCUUAUGUUUUUAACUAAUUUGGAGACGAUAUGCUACAGCCAACUCAGAGAAGAUCAAUCCUUCAGCAACUUAAGGAUUAUAAACGUAGAUUCCUGUCGAAAAUUGAAGUAUCUCUUCUCAUUCUCUAUGGCCAAAAACCUAUUGCGGCUUCAAAAAGUAAAAGUGGAAGACUGCGAUGAUUUGAAAAUGAUUAUUGGUAAGUGUUGAAAUUAAUUAUUGGUAGGAUUAUUGACAUUGACUCUUUCUUUUUUUCUUUUUCUUUUUUUGGGGAAAAAAACAACGGAUGUUUAUUAUAUAUUGUUUUGGUUCAUUUAUAGGGCCCGACAUGGAGAAACCAACAACAACUCAGGGAUUCAUAGAAAUCAAUGCAGAGGAUGAUCCUGUUCACCAGGUAAUAAUUUUCUGUUUAAUAAUUAAUUAAUUAAUAUAUUAUCACGAUUGAGCUUCAAUCAUCGAAAGAAUAUUAUAUUAGAAGUUGUAGUUGAAGGAACAAAAAUGUAUGGUUUUUCUUUGCAGGUUACUUUUCCACGCUUGGAGGAACUGGAACUUGUCAGUUUAACAAAUAUCAAAAAAUUAUGGUCCGAUCAAUUUCAGGGAAUAUAUUGUUGUCAAAAUUUAACAAAAGUGACCGUGUGGAGUUGUCAUCGUCUGAAGUAUUUGUUUUCAUAUUCUAUGGUUAAUAGUCUUGGGCAACUCCAACAUCUUGAGAUUCGUAAUUGCCGGUCAAUUGAAGGGGUAGUCAACACCACGACGUUAGGAGGAAGAGAUGAAUUUAAGGUUUUUCCCAAACUACACUACCUGUCGCUCCAUUGGCUUCCAAAACUAAGUAGCUUUGCCUCACCAGAAGACGUCAUUCACACUGAAAUGCAACCUCAAUCCCUCUUUGAUGAAAAGGUUUUUUUUCAUUGAAUUUUUAAAUUCUCUUUUCGUUGAGUCUUCAAAUUUAAUUAAUAUACAUCUCUAAUUGCAUUGAAUUUUUAACUUCAGGUACGACUCCCAAGUCUGGAGGUAUUAAAUAUUAGUGAGGCGGAUAAGUUGAGAAAAAUAUGGCACCACCAGCUUGCUUCGAAGUCUUUUAGCAAAUUGAAAAAAUUGAAGAUAUCUGGGUGUAAUAAUCUACUGAAUAUUUUUCCUCCAUUGGUAAGAUUGCUAUAUUCAUUUUGAAUUUUUAUUUCAAGUAACAUUCAACAAUUAUUUUAAUCAUUUUUGUGUUUACAAAUAAUUUUCAUUCACAAAUUAUUUAUUGCAAGUAUUUUACUUCAAACUUCAGGAGGGCAAAAAAGUAGUGUACUUCAAAUCACCAUUCUGAACUCUGCAUUGUCAAUCUAAUUUAUAGGUUCACCCGCAUUAAAGUCAACGAUAUAAUUGUUUUAAACACGAUUUAACAGCAUAAUAUAAUUCAAUUUAAUUGUUUUUUUCCUUAAAUCCUAAUAAAUAAGAUUUUUAGAAAUUAAAAGAUACUUAGUUACUCAGCUUUUAAGCUCACAAAUUCAUAUAUAUUUCUCUUUUCCUUGGGUCUUCAAAUUUCGAUUUAAAAAAAAAUAAAAGAAAAGUGUUCAAAUGUAGUUAAUAUCUCUAGUUUAGUUAUGAAUUGAUUACGCCAUUGAUUAAGCACAAAUUCAUGAUGGUCAUUUUGAAUCGACCGUUGAUUAAAAAAAUUCCUCAAAUAUUCACUCUAUAACAGUCCCAUGUUGAUGGCGUUGGGAAGUGUUUUCCAGAAAUGUUUUUCCAUUUUUAAAAGCAUGAAUAUCGGGAAAAAAAAAAGGGAAAUACAGCGUUUUAGUUUAGUUAUUUUAAAAAUAGGCAUGUUUGAAAAUUAAAAAUUUUAAAAAACUAGCAUCAAGAUGAAAAAUGAAUUUAGAAUAUUUAAAAAUUACCUGAAAUUCUUUCUCCGUUCCUAAUACUAAAUAGUGUAAAUGCAUUUUCAUUAUCUUUGUUUUUCUGGACUUCUAUUUAUUUAUUUUUAUUUUUUCUUUUUUUUCUUUAACAAAAAAUAUCUAGUAGACAUUCAUGGUUUGUUAUUUUUCAUAAAACAAUUGUAUGAUUUUGACAUACUUUGAAUCUAGUUGAAUGCUACUCUUUAUUUUCAGGUUGGAAUUCCCAAUAGUCUAGUGAAUCUUGAUGUAUCAGACUGUGCAAAAAUAGAAGAAAUCAUAGGACAUGUUGGAGAAGAAGCGAAGGAGAAUCGUAUUGCUUUCAACGAAUUAAAACUUUUGGAACUUGAUGAUUUACCAAGGCUUACCAGCUUUUGUUUGGAGAAUUACACUCUUGAAUUCCCAUCAUUGGAACAAGUUUCUAUGACACAUUGUCCGAACAUGAAGACUUUUUCUCGGGGAAUCUCAUCCACACCAAAGCUAUACGUAGUGCAAGUGACUGAAAGGGAAGAGGGUGAACACCAUUGGGAAGGCAAUAAGCUUAAUUCCACUAUACAAAAGUGUUACGAAGUAAUGGUAUGUGUUAAUCGAUUCACUUUACGAAGUAAUGGUGUUACGAACACCAUUACGAAGUAAUGGCAAUAAGCUUAAUUCCACUAUACCACAUUUAAACAUAUACACCUGCGUUGUAAAUAUAUUUUUAGAAGUUAAAGCACAAAACAUGUAAGUUUAAUGUAUAUAUAUAUCUAAUGCCUUUCAAAAAAAGAAAUUUAUAUAUAUCCAGUGCAAUUGUUUUGGUUUAUGCAGAUUGGAUUCCGUGACAUAGAGCAUUUGCAACUCUCACAUUUUCCACGCUUGAGAGAAAUAUGGCACGGCCAAGCAGUGCCUGUCAGCUUCUUCAACAAUUUACGACAACUGGCUGUGGAUGACUGCACGAAUAUGUCGAGUGCUAUUCCUACCAAUCUGCUACGUUGCUUGAACAAUUUGAGAUGCCUGGAAGUGAGGAAUUGUGAUUUAAUAGAAGAGGUGCUUCAUUUAGAAGAGCUAAAUGCUAAGGAAGAACAUAUAGGCCCCCGGUUUCCUAGGCUUAACAGACUAAGGCUCAUUGAUCUUCCAAAACUCAAAAGAUUCUGCAACUUCACUGGGAAUAUAAUUGAACUGUCUGAGUUGGAGAAUCUAACUAUUGAGAAUUGCCCUGAUAUGGAAACAUUCAUAUCCAACUCUGUAGUGCAUGUGACAACAAAUAACAAGGAACCUCAAAAAUUAACAUCAGAAGAGAACUUUUUGCUGGCUCAUCAAGUACAACCCCUCUUCGAUGAAAAGGUGAUUAUUAUUAUUAUUAUUAUUAUUAUUAUUAUUUUCCCCUUCACUUUUGUUCGCACAGAUGUAAUUUCAUUAGAAUCAAAUCAAAUUUUAUGACUCAUCUUUUUGCAUGUCAUCUUGAUUCAUAUAUGAAUUAACAAUACAACUACAGUUAUGAACUAACUUUAUAGUAUGAAUUAAAAAAAUGUCUUAAAUUAUUUCGAUGACUGGUAACAUGAGGUGAUGAACUAUAUCAAUUAUGCUUGUCGCAUCUCUGUUUUCCUAGCUAAUUCAUAUUGGAUUUAGUAUCAGAUUUCAUUUAUGUGUUUCAAAGGGUAAUCGAUUUGAUACUUAUAUUUGGGAUCCUACUGCAAAGCAUACUAAUUUGGAAAUAAAAUAUAAAAUGCCGUGAUUAAUCUUGUCCAUAAAAUAUGCAGGGGAAGACUGCAGAGAUUGGAUACAUACUUUCAUUUACAACUUAAUUUUGUUGAUUUUCAGCUUACAUUCCCUCAAUUGAAGGAGUUAAAGCUAUCUAGAUUACACAAAGUGCAGCAUCUCUGGAAGGAAAAUGACGAAUCCAACAAAGCGUUUGCAAACUUGAAAAGUCUAGAAAUAUUUGAAUGUAGUAAGUUACAGAAAUUAGUACCAGCUUCGUGGCAUUUGGAAAAUCUUGAGGCUUUGAAAGUAUCGAAGUGUCACAGGUUGAUAAAUUUGUUGACGCUCUCAACAUCUAGAAGUCUGAUAAUUCUUCAAAGUAUGACGAUAGCUGAUUGCAAAAGGAUAGAAGAAAUCAUACAGUCGCCGGUUGCAGAAGAAGCGAAAGAUUGCAUUGUUUUCAAGGAAUUAAAGUACUUGGGACUUGAUUGUUUGCCAAGCCUAACAAGCUUUUGUUUAGGUAAUUACGCUCUUGAAUUCCCGUCCUUGAAACAAGUAGUUGUGAGAGAGUGUCCAAAAAUGAUGAUCUUCUCUCAAGGAGUCUUAGACACACCAAUGCUAAACAAAGUGAACGUCACCGAAGAAGAAAAAGAUGAUGAUGAUGAAGGAUGUUGGGAAGGCAACCUCAAUGACACCAUAAAAAAAUUGUUCAAUGAAAUGGUGAGUAUCAAUUAAGUUUUGGUGCUAUUUAGAAAAUU